UUUUUUUUUGUUUGUUUGUUUGUUUUUCCUAUGUUAUCAAACACAUUUUCAAAUCAUGUAUUGGAAAAAAAGACAUGACAUUUCAUUCCUACGUUUUUCUGUUUCUGCAUCUGCAUUUUAAGAAUCCUAUGAAUGAAAGAGGUGCUAAUACGAACAUAAAAACAACUAAAAUCAAAACAUCACUUCAUGGCCGGGCCCUUGCCCUUGCGGUCGGCGACGUGGCGGACCAUCUUCUCCAUGUACGCAGCGACAGGAAGGGUCAUUGUACAUUGUGUUGUCGCUUGUCUUUGAUAUGGACGAAAUGUACCUGGAGAGACGGCGAAGGAGGCGUUGUUUCUCCUUUGCUUGGCAGGCGGUCUCCAAGGCACUCAGACACCUCGAGGCCGAGGCGGAGAGCCUUCAUUUUCUUGUAUCGGAGGCGCUGCGUGUCGGUCUUCGUCGUGGUCAGCAACCGCCAUACGACCUCGCGGAUGAGCGCGUCCUCCGAGUCGACAGGGAUGGAGCGCGACCGCUGGCGAUAAGAGCUAGGCGCCGUCAAAGCCUCUGCCAGCUGUCGCUCACACUGGGGUGUCGUGGGUGGUGCCGCCGCUAGCUAGGCGCCUUCGCCUCCGACUCCAGCAUGCACAUCCGCAUUGGAGCCACAGGCAUGAGCACGCACCGCUACCGGGUUGUCUCGGGACCAGAGUGGUGCACGCGCAGGAGAAGAAGGGGAGACGACCGUGGGACAAAUCUAGAGUGGCGCUGAGCGGAAAGAGAAAGUGUGUCCUUCAUUCAUAUGACGACAUGUGGAGGAACUACCGCCAAUGUCCACACACGAGAGCAAGCUGGCGAUGCGGAGCACGUGCUAUUCGUUCGUGUGGCGCGUCUAAGCUAGAUCAGGCGUCUUCCUCCUUGACGAGCCCGUCCUAGUCGCUGGGAUUGGAUUCGUUGUCGGAGCGCUCACCGAAGUUGGCCAUGGCAGUGGGUGUUGGGGAACAUUGCAUGGGAAACAAAAAAAUUCCUACGCACACGAAGACCUAUCAUGGUGAUGUCCAUCUACCAGAGGAGAUUAGAUCCACAUACCCUUGUAGAUCGCUAAGCGGGAAGCGUUAAAACAACGCGGUUGAUGUAGUGGUACAGCUUCAUGAUUCAAAUCACCGUUAUCCCAAGAUCCGUCCCACGAUCCGUUCCGAUCUAGCGCCGAACGGAUGGCACCUCCGCGUUCGAUAUCAACCUUCUUGAUCCAGCAAGAGAGACGGAGAAGUAGAUGAGUUCCCCGGCAGCGUGACGGCGCGCCGGUGUUGGUGAUGAUCUAUUCCUGCACGGCUCCGCCCGAGCUCCGCAGAAAUAUAAUCUAGAGGAAGAACUACGAGGUGUAGGUUUGAAUUGCACGUGGCAAAGUUGUGUCUCAAACAGCCCUAUAGGAGGAGUCAAGGGGUGGGGCAAGCCCUUAGGGCGCCGGCCAAAGAGGCCCUCCUUGGGUCGGCCGAAGUGGGAAGGGAGGAGUCCUUCUCCAAUCCCACUUGGAUUAGGACUCCUUCCUUAAUUUCCCACCUCUUUUGGAUUUUCCACAUUUUCCUCAUGGGCUUUCCUUGGAUGACUUUGUGAGCCCAUUAUACCUUAUUUUACAUCCAAUAAACCCACGUGGACCCCUUGGGGCAUGGUGGGUCCACCCAGUGGGCCCCCGAAACCCAUUCGUCACUCCCUGUACACUGCCGACAAUGCCCGAAAACUUUGCGGAAUCCAAACACCAACUUCCUAUAUAUAAAUCUUCGUUUCCGGACCAUUCCGGAAACCCUCGUGACGUCCGUGAUCNNNNNNNNNNCUUUGGUCACCAACACAUAUAACUCAACUAUACUAAAACACCAUCGAACCUUAAGUGUGCAGACCCCGCGGGUUCGAGAACUAUGUACACAUGACCCGAGACACUCUCUGGUCAACAACCAACAGCGGGACCUGGAUGUCCAUAUUGGUUAUAUGUGUGUUGGUGAGUUAUAUGUGUUGGUGACCGAAGUUUUAUUCGGAGUCCCGGAUGAGAUCCUGGACAUCACGAGGAGUUCCGGAAUGGUCCGAAAACGAAGAUUGAUAUAUAGGAAGUUGGUAUUUGGAUUCCGGAAGGUUUUCAUGCAUUGUCCGGAGUUUACUGGCAGUGACGAAUGGGUUCCAGGGGCCCACUAGGUGGGGCCACCACGCCCCAAGGGGUCCACAUGGGUUUAUUGGAUGCGCAAUAAGGUAUAAUGGGCUCACAAAGUCAUCCAAGAAAAGGCCAUGAGGAAAAAGUGGAAAAUCCAAAAGAGGUGGGAAAAUAAGGAAGGAGUCCUAAUUCAAGUGGGAUUGGAGGAGGACUCCUCCCUUCCCCACUUCGGCUGACCCAAGGAGGCCUUCCUUGGCGCGCCAAGGCUGUCCCUUCCCUCCUCCUAUAUAUACUAGAGGUUUAGGGCUUUUGAGACACAACUUUGUCACGUGUUGCCCUCUCCUCUAUAUCGUAGUUCUUCCUCUAGAUCGAUUUUCUGUGGAGCUCGGGCAGAGCCCUGCAGGAAUAGAUCAUCACCAUCACUGGCGCGCUGUCACGCUGUCGGAGAACUCAUCUACUUCCCCGCCCCUCUUGCUAGAUCAAGAAGGCGGAGAUCGUCAUGGAGAUGUACGUGUGUGGGACGCGGAGGUGUCGUCCGUUCGGCACUUGAUCGGGACGGAUCACGAGAUGGUUCAUGCGACGGAUCGUGGGACGGUUCGUGGGACGGAUCGUGAAGAUGUUGUUGGAAAUAUGCCCUAGAGGCAACAAUAAAAUGGUUAUUAUCAUAUUUCCCUGUUCAUGAUAAUCGUCUAUUGUUCAUGCUAUAAUUGUAUUAACAGGAAACAGUAAUACAUGUGUGAAUAAAUAGAUCACAAUGUGUCCCUAGCAAGCCUCUAGUUGGCUAGCUCGUUAGUCAAUAGAUGAUCAUGGAUUCCUGAUCAUGGGCAUUAGAUGUCAUUGAUAACGGGAUCACAUCAUUGGGAGAAUGAUGUGAUGGACAAGACCCAAUCCUAAGCCUAGCACUAGAUCGUAUUGUUCGUAUGCUAAUGCUUUUCUAAUGUCAAGUAUCUUUUCCUUCGACCGUGAGAUUGUGCAACUCCCGGAUACCGUAGGAGUGCUUUGGGUGUAUCAAACGUCACAACGUAACUGGGUGACUAUAAACGUGCACUACGGGUACCUCCGAAAGUGUCUGUUGGGUUGGUACGAAUCGAGAUCGGGAUUUGUCACUCCGUGUGACGGAGAGGUAUCUCUGGGCCCACUCGGUAGAACAUCAUCAUGAGCUCAAUGUGACUAAGGAGUUAGUCACACGAUGACGUGCUACGGAACGAGUAAAGAGACUUACCGGUAGCGAGAUUGAACAAGGUAUAGGUAUACCGACGAUCGAAUCUCGGGCAAGUUCUAUACCGACAAACAAAGGGAAUCGUAUACGGGAUUGAUUGAAUCCUUGACAUCGUGGUUNNNNNNNNNNCGUAACGAGAUUGAACAAGGUAUAGGUAUAUCGACGAUCGAAUCUCGGGCAAGUUCUAUACCGACAGACAAAGGGAAUCGUAUACGGGAUUGAUUGAAUCCUUGACAUCGUGGUUCAUCCAAUGAGAUCAUCGUGGAGAAAGUGGGAGCCACCAUGGGUAUCCAGACCCCGCUGAUGGUUAUUGGCCAGAGAGGUGUCUCGGUCAUGUCUGCCUGUCUCCCGAACCCGCAGGGUCUACACACUUAAGGUUCGAUGACGCUAGGGUUAUAGGGAAUUGUUAUACAAGGUUACCGAAAGUUGUUCGAGUCCCGGAUGAGAUCCCGGACAUCACGAGGAGAUCCGGAAUGGUCCGGAGGUAAAGAUUGAUAUAUAGGACGGAUGGUUUCGGAUACCGGAAGUGUUUCGGGCAUCACCGGUAAUGUACCGGGACCACCGGAGGUGGCCCCGGGGGACCACCGAAGGGGGGCAACGACCCCGGGAGAUAAGGUGGGCCAAGUGGGGGUGGGAACCAGCCCCUAGGUGGGCUGGUGCGCCUCCCCACUCGGCCCAUUGCGCAAGGGAGAGAAAAGGGGUGCAAACCCUAGGACAGGUGGGCCUAAGGCCCACCAGAUGGUGCGCCACCCCCUCCUCCCCCUUCUGGCCGCCGCACCUCCCAUAUGGGGGGGGGGCUGCCGCACCCCCUAGGGUGGGAACCCUAGGGGUGGCACCCCCUCUCCCCUCCCCCUAUAUAUAUCGGGCACUUUUGGCCAUUGAGACACACGGUUUUUCCCUCUCUCUCGGCGCAGCCCUGCUCUUCUUCCUCCUCCUCUCCGCCGGUGCUUGGCGAAGCCCUGCCGGGAGACCUCGUCUCUCCAUCGACACCACGCCGUUGUGUUGCUGGAGUUCUUCCCCAACCUCUCCCUCCUCCUUGCUGGAUCAAGGUGCGGGANNNNNNNNNNNNNNNNNNNNNNNNNNNNNNNNNNNNNNNNNNNNNNNNNNNNNNNNNNNNNNNNNNNNNNNNNNNNNNNNNNNNNNNNNNNNNNNNNNNNUGUUUGCAUUUGUGCAAUACAAGCAUCAUUAUCUUCGUAGAUAAUGGUGGGUGAUUUCAGCGAACCAAUCCCACUUGAACUUUGGACAAAGUUUAUCAUUCUGCGAAGCCAUACACAUUCACGUGAUGCUUCGAACAAAGCAAUUAUCUCAGAAUAAUUGGUGGACGUUGCCACUAAGGUUUGCUUUGUUGACUUCCAAGAGAAGGUUGUACCUCCAUGUAAGAAGACAAAACCAGUCUGCGAUCUGGCAUCAUGGGGAUCUCACUAGUAUCCAGCACCGCAAUACCCCAUCAUGGUUCUCUCUUGAUUUUUCUGAUAGAAUAAACCAAGAUCUUUGGUGCCUUGAAGAUAUCUGGAAAUAUUCUUCACACCAACCCAAUACCUUUUUGUUGGUGAUGCGCUGUAUCUAGCCAGUAAAUUAAUUGCAAAUGCUAUAUCAGGUCUAGUGCAGUUUGCUAGAUACAUUAGUGCACCAACGGCACUAAGAUAUGGAAACUCUGGUCCCAAUAUCUCUUCAUCAUCACCCUUAGGCCUAAAUGGGUCCUUGUCUCUGUCAAACGACCUGACGACCAUAGGUGUUUUUGAUAGGAUGCUUUAUCCAUAUUGAACUUUUCCAGUAUCUUUUGGAUGUAAGUAGACUGAUGAACAAGUAUUCCUGAAGAAAAAUGUUCAAGUUGCAAACCAAGACAAAAUUUGGUUUGACCCAAAUCUUUCAUCUCAAAUUCCGUCUUGAGAUGAUUACUUGCCUCAUGUAUUUCACGUGUAGUCCCAAUGAUGUUCAAGUCAUCAACAUACACGGAAAUUAUAUAAAAUCCAUCAGUGGAUUUCUUGAUGAACACACAUGGGCAAUCAUUGUUGUUUGAGUAACCCUUCUCCAGAAGGAAUUCACUUAGUCGGUUAUACCACAUUCUACCCGACUGUUUCAAGCCGUAUAACGACCUCACUAGCUUUACGCAAUACAUGUUGCGGUUAGCUUUUGAAUCCGGAAUCUUCAGUCCCUCGGGAACUUUCAUAUAUAUAUAUCCGUCUUAAGUGACCCAUAUAAAUAUGCAGUCACAGCAUCCAUCAAUUGGAUAUACAAAUUCAUUUGCACUGCCAGUGAUAUCAAGUAUCGGUACGUGAUUCCACUNNNNNNNNNNAAUUUCNNNNNNNNNNNNNNNNNNNNNNNNNNNNNNNNNNNNNNNNNNNNNNNNNNNNNNNNNNNNNNNNNNNNNNNNNNNNNNNNNNNNNNNNNNNNNNNNNNNNCUAGCUAGAUGUAUGUGUAAUACAGUCCAGAAGAUAGAGCAGGAAGUCUCUCAAGGGUUUCCUUGUCGAAUCCCUUCUGCUGAGUUAUGAGUAGGCUUUCAACCGCAUUGUCUUCAUGAGUUUCAAUGUGGUAGCCAUUCAUACGGAUAUCCUUAAAACUCAACAUGGUACGAGUUGAAUCCGGAUACAAUAAAGCCUCCUGGAUUUCAAGUUUUGUACCAUUCGGGAUGGUAAAUGUGGCUUGACCAGAACCAACAAUUACCGUGUCAUGACCACCAAUUGUCAUAACACUUCCAAGCAGAGCGUCGUAGCAGAUUCUAUAUGUGAAGCGGAGUAUAUGGCUGCCUCGGAGGCGGCUAAGGAGGGUGUCUGGAUGAAGCAGUUCAUGACGGAUCUUAGAGUGGUGCCAAGCGCACUAAAUCCAAUAACCUUGUUCUUUGACAACACGGGUGCCAUUGCCUUAGCAAAGGAACCACGGUUUCACAAGAGGACCAUACACAUCAAACGACGCUUCAACCUCAUCCGCGACUACGUCGAGGGAGAGGACGUAAAUAUAUGCAAAGUGCACAUGGAUCUGAAUGUAGCAGACCCGCUGACUAAACCUCUUCCACGGCCAAANNNNNNNNNNGUAUUUAUUCUUAAUGGGGGUGCAGUAAGCUGGUGCAGUUCCAAGCAAAGCGUCGUAGCAGAUUCUACAUGUGAAGCGGAGUACAUGGCUGCCUCGGAGGCGGCUAAGGAGGGUGUCUGGAUGAAGCAGUUCAUGACGGAUCUUAGAGUGGUGCCAAGUGCACUGGAUCCAAUAACCUUAUUCUAUGACAACACUGGUGCCAUUGCCUUAGCAAAGGAACCAAGGUUUCACAAGAAGACCAGACACAUCAAACGACGCUUCAACCUCAUCCNNNNNNNNNNGCAUGAUCAACACCAGAACUGUAUGGGUGUUAGAUUUAUUACAAUGUAAUUCACAUGAUGAUGUGAGGGCUAGAUUAUUGACUCUAGUGCAAGUGGGAGAGUGUUGGAAUUAUGCCCUAGAGGCAAUAAUAAAUAUAGUUAUUAUUAUANNNNNNNNNNACAUGAUCGACACCAGAACUGUAUGGGUGUUAGAUUUAUUACAAUGUAAUUCACAUGGUGAUGUGAGGGCUAGAUUAUUGACUCUAGUGCAAGUGGGAGACUGUUGGAAUUAUGCCCUAGAGGCAAUAAUAAAUGUAUAGUUAUUACUAUAAUUCCUGUAUCAAGAUAAUAGUUUAUUAUCCAUGCUAUAAUUGUNNNNNNNNNNAUUCCUGUAUCAAGAUAAUCGUUUAUUAUCCAUGCUAUAAUUGUAUUGAAUGAAGACUCAUUUACAUGUGUGGAUACAUAGACAAAACACCGUCCCUAGCAUGCCUCUAGUUGGCUAGCCAGUUGAUCAAUGAUAGUCAGUGUCUUCUGAUUAUGAACAAGGUGUUGUUGCUUGAUAACUGGAUCACAUCAUUGGGAGAAUCACGUGAUGGACUAGACCCAAACUAAUAGACGUAGCAUGUUGAUCGUGUCAUUUUGUUGCUACUGUUUUCUGCGUGUCAAGUAUUUAUUCCUAUGACCAUGAGGUCGUAUAACUCACUGACACCGGAGGAAUGCUUUGUGUGUAUCAAACGUCGCAACGUAACUGGGUGACUAUAAAGAUGCUCUACAGGUAUCUCCGAAGGUGUUAGUUGAGUUAGUAUGNNNNNNNNNNGAGCCUUUUCUGAUGAACGAUGCACCAUGCGAACUUAUUUAUGAGGAAGUUGGAGUCAACUUGAGCGAGAAACCGCUCCAAAACCAUCCCCUCGGGCAAAUGGCAAACCCUACAGUUCCAGUUUUACUGAAUUGGAGACUGGGAUUUGUCACUCCGUGUGACGGAGAGGUAUCUCGGGGCCCANNNNNNNNNNCAUCAAGACUGAGAUUUGUCACUCCGUGUGACGGAGAGGUAUCUCGGGGCCCACUCGGUAAUACAACAUCACACACAAGCCUUGCAAGCAAUGUAACUUAGUGUAAGUUACGGGAUCUUGUAUUACGGAAUGAGUAAAGAGACUUGCCGGUAAACGAGAUUGAAAUAGGUAUGCGGAUACUGACGAUCGAAUCUCGGGCANNNNNNNNNNGAGCAAUGUGACUUAGUGAAAGUUGCGGGAUCUUGUAUUACGGAACGAGUAAAGAGACUUGCCGGUGAACGAGAUUGAAAUAGGUAUGCGGAUACUGACGAUCGAAUCUCGGGCAAGUAACAUACCGAAGGACAAAGGGAAUGACAUACGGGACUAUAUGAAUCCUUGGCACUGAGGUUCAAACGAUAAGAUCUUCGUAGAAUAUGUAGGAUCCAAUAUGGGCAUCCAGGUCCCGCUAUUGGAUAUUGACUGAGGAGUCUCUCGGGUCAUGUCUACAUAGUUCUCGAACCCGCAGGGUCUGCACACUUAGGGUUCGACGUUGUUUUAUGUGUAUUUGAGUUAUAUGGUUGGUUACCGAAUGUUGUUCGGAGUCCCGGAUGAGAUCACGGACGUCACGAGGGUUUCCGGAAUGGUCCGGACAUGAAGAUUAAUAUAUAGGAUGACCUCAUUUGAUUACCGGAAGGUUUUCGGAGUUACCGGGAAUGUACCGGGAAUGACGAAUGGGUUCCGGGAGUUCACCGGGGGGGCAACCCACCCCGGGGAAGCCCAUAGGCAUUGGGGGAGCCACACCAGCCCUUAGUGGGCUGGUGGGACAGCCCACAAGUGCCCAAUGCACCAAGAGAAGAAAAAUCAAGAGGAAAGGCAAAANNNNNNNNNNCUUGAGGGUGGCACACCAGCCCUUAGUGGGCUGGUGGGACAUCCCAAAAGGGCCCUAUGCGCCUAGGAAAGAAAAUCAAAGAGAAAAAAAAAGAGGAGGUGGGAAGGGAAGGAAGGACUCCCACCCACCAAACCAAGUCCAACUCGGUUUGGGGGGGGAGCCUUCCCCCUUGGACUCGGCCGACCCCCUUGGGGCUCCUUGAGCCCCAAGGCAAGGUCCCCUCCCUCCCACCUAUAUAUACGGAGGUUUUAGGGCUGAUUUGAGACGAUUUUNNNNNNNNNNAUAUAUAUACAGAGGUUUUAGGGCUGAUUUUAGACGACUUUCUCACGGCUGCCCGACCACAUACCUCCACGGUUUUUCCUCUAGAUCGCGUUUCUGCGGAGCUCGGGCGGAGCCCUGCUGAGACAAGGUCAUCACCAACCUCCGGAGCGCCGUCACGCUGCCGGAGAACUCUUCUACCUCUCCGUCUCUCUUGCUGGAUCAAGAAGGCCGAGAUCAUCGUCGAGUUGUACGUGUGCUGAACGCGGAGGUGCCGUCCGUUCGGUACUAGAUCGUUGGACUGAUCGCGGGAUUGUUCGCGGGGCGGAUCGAGGGACGUGAGGACNNNNNNNNNNNNNNNNNNNNNNNNNNNNNNNNNNNNNNNNNNNNNNNNNNNNNNNNNNNNNNNNNNNNNNNNNNNNNNNNNNNNNNNUCACUACAUCAACCACGUUCACUAACGCUUCUGCUGUACGAUCUACAAGGGUACGUAGAUCUCUCAUCCCCUCUCGUAGAUGGACAUCACCAUGAUAGGUCUUCGUGCGCGUAGGAANNNNNNNNNNACCGCGUUCACUAACGCUUUUGCUGUACGAUCUACAAGGGUACGUAGAUCACNNNNNNNNNNNNNNNNNNNNNNNNNNNNNNNNNNNNNNNNNNNNNNNNNNNNNNNNNNNNNNNNNNNNNNNNNNNNNNNNNNNNNNNNNNNNNNNNNNNNNNNNNNNNNNNNNNNNNNNNNNNNNNNNNNNNNAAGUGGCAUCAUGAGCCAGGUUCAUGCGUAGAUGUCUUCUCGAGUAGAACACAAAAGUUUUUGUGGGCGGUGAUGUGCGUUUUGCUGCCCUCCUUAGUCUUUUCUUGAUUCCGCGGUAUUGUUGGAUUGAAGCGGCUUGGACCGACAUUACUCGUACGCUUACGAGAGACUGGUUUCAUCGUUACGAGUAACCCCCUUUGCUCAAAGAUGACUGGCAAGUGACGGUUUCUCCAACUUUAGUUGAAUCGGAUUUGACCGAGGAGGUCCUUGGAUGAGGUUAAAUAGCAACUCAUAUAUCUCCGUUGUGGUGUUUGCGUANNNNNNNNNNNNNNNNNNNNNNNNNNNNNNNNNNNNNNNNNNNNNNNNNNNNNNNNNNNNNNNNNNNNNNNNNNNNNNNNNNNNNNNNNNNNNNNNNNNNCAAAAUAGUAAACGCAUCUGCAAGCACAAACGUUAGUAUAAAGACAACCCUAUGGCUCCUGCCGGUUGCCGUACCAUCGAUGUGCAAGUCGAUAUUUCUAUUACAACAUGAUCAUCUCAUACAUCCAAUAUAUCACAUCACAUCAUUAGCCAUAUCACAUCACAAUCAUACCCUGCAAAAACAAGUUAGACGUCCUCUAAUUUUGUUGUUGCAUGUUUUACGUGGUGACCAUGGGUUUCUAGUAGGAUCGCAUCUUACUUACGCAAACACCACAACGGAGAUAUAUGAGUUGCUAUUUAACCUCAUCUAAGGACCUCCUUGGUCAAAUCCGAUUCAACUAAAGUUGGAGAAACCGACACUUGCCAGUCAUCUUUGAGCAACGGGGUUACUCGUAGCGAUGAAACCAGUCUCUCAUAAGCGUACGAGUAAUGUCGGUCCAAGCCGCUUCAAUCCAACAAUACCACGGAAUCAAGAAAAGACUAAGGAGGGAAGCAAAACGCACAUCACCGCCCACAAAAACUUUUGUGUUCUACUCGAGAAGACAUCUACGCAUGAACCUAGCUCAUGAUGCCACUGUUGGGGAACGUCGCAUGGGAAACAAAAAAUUUCCUACGCGCACGAANNNNNNNNNNNNNNNNNNNNNNNNNNNNNNNNNNNNNNNNNNNNNNNNNNNNNNNNNNNNNNNNNNNNNNNNNNNNNNNNNNNNNNNNNNNNNNNNNNNNAUUGAUCCAUUAGCUACAAGAGUUGGUAUUGUACAGAACAGCCAGAACACUGAUGCAGCUGAUGAUGUUGGCCGCCAAUUUUUGAAAUUUGUAAACUAUUUUGAAAUAAAUGGUAUUUUUGAAAAUGAAUCCACAAAUUUAAGAAAAGUUCAUCGAUUUUGAAAAAAAAAAAUCAUGGUCUAAUAAAACAAUGUUCACAAAAUAAAAGAAAGUUAUCACAAAUGUUGAGAAAUUUCAUAAACUUAACUAGAUUUAGAAAAAAAAUCACCGGGUUUUGAAAAAAGGUUGAAGGAUUUGAAAAGAGUUCACGAAUUCAAAAAGAGUUCCUCAAAUUUGGUUUUUUAUUUUAUUUUUUCAGAAACAUUUACUGGAUUUUGAGAAACAAUCAUAAAUUUAAAAAAGUUCAUCAAUUUUGAUAAACAAUGUUCGUGCAUUUUGAAAUAUAGUUCAUUGGUUUUCAAAAACAUAAUCGUUGUUUUGAAGAAAGUUCAUUGAUUUUGUUAAAAGAAUGUCCGCAUAUUUAAAAAAGUUCAUCAAAUUUCCUUUUUCUAUCACAAAUUUGAAAAAUAAAAUCGUGAUUUGAAAAUUUUCAUCAAUUUUGAUAAAGAAAAAAAAUUCACGCCUGUUGAAAGAAGGAAAGAAAAAGUGAACAAAAAAAGAAAAAAAGAAAAAUAAAAAGAAAAAAAGAAAAAUAAAAGGAAAAUAAGAGGGAAGGAAAGCGGAAGGAGAAUGUAACAAACCACAUUAGUUUAGUUAUCUACUAGCAAGUUACCGUAGUUAAUUCUAAACGAGGAGGUUUAAACGGAAAAUGAAUGGAUAAACAGGACAGCCCAGCACAGAGUGAUGGUGUGCGCCUGUUUGCGCUAAACACUAUAACGGACGCUAAAGGCAUCAAAUAGGGGAAAAUGAAAGGAUAAAUGGACCGGCCCAUUCUGGAAUAGCGGUGUGCCUCCGCUUGCUGAAAACACUCUAAUAACCGGUCAAGGCAACAAAUAGGGUUUCCCUCUGAGUAAACCAAGUGGGCUAUAUAUCUUUUUCACAUAAAAAUGAGAUUGUAUCUUGCUCCGUCUGGCUUCUGGCGUCCGUAUGUAUGGACUCGCCCAGUUAGUAACGGUUUACCUCACGGGACAUGCCUUCAGCACAGCUCCUUUCUUGUUCUCUUGGCUUCUUUUAUUUCAACAUUAUAUGGUUUCUUUUCUUUAAUUAGUUUUUUUCAUAUUUAUUGCAUUUCUUUAAUUAUUAUUUUACAGUUUAAAACAAAAAUUUAAAAGGAUAAACUGAUCGGCCCAGCACAGAGUGGCGGUGUGGGCCUGUUUGCGGAAUACACUAUAACUGGGGCUGAAGGUUCCAAAUAGGGUUUACACUAAAAUGUUACUCCCUUCGUUCCUAAAUAUAAGUCUUUUUAGAAGUUUUAUAGGGGACUACAUACGGAUAUAUAUAAACAUAUUUUAGAGUAUAAAUUCACUAAUUUUACUCCGUAUAUAGUCCCCUAAUGAAACAUUUAGAAAAACUUAUAUUUAAGAACGGAGGGAGUAUAAACCAAGAGGGCUAUAUAUCUUUUUCCCAAAAAUGGAGGUUGUAUCUCGCUUCAAGCGAGAUAUAUGCACCUCUCAGCCUUUGGCGUCCGUAUAUAUCGACAUGCCCAGUGAGUAACCAUAUUCCUUAUGGGACAUGGCUUCAACACACAAGUUCUUUCAAGUUCUCUAGGAUUUUUUUUAUUUCAACAUUUUAUGGUUUUCAUUUCCUUAAUUAGUUUUUUUUUCUUAUUUACUGUAUUUAUUUAUUGUUUUCAGAGGUAUUAUCUUACAUUUUCGGUUUUCUUAUUCAUGGUAUUUUUUCUAACAAUAUGUCUGCAUUUUAAUAUAAGUUUUACUUUUUUAGUAUACAUGUGGAAUAUGUUUUAUACAUGUUCAAAAAAUUUCCAAAUAAUGUGAAAAUAUCAUUAAUAACAUGUCUAAACAUUUAUAAUACAUAUUAAAAAUAUUAAAUACACAUUACCAUUUUUUAAAUGAUAUGACACACGAUUUUACAUUAUAUAAUGUUUUUUGGAUUUCACUAAUUUAUUUUUGAAAAUGUAUGAACUUAUUUUAAAUGGCACACAAGUUUUCUUUAAUGGUACCAAAUAUUUUUGUAAAAUAUAUGUUAUAAUAUUUUUUGAAUUCAUAUUAAACAUUUUGUAAAUAUACAUACCAUUUUUUAAAUGGUGUGAUACAUGUUUCUACAUCAUACAAUGUUUUUUUAAAUAUCACUAAUAUAUUUUUUGAAAUGUAUGAACUUGUUCUAAAUGGCACUUACAAUUUUUAAAAUGGUACCAAACAUUUUUUAAAAUUUCAGGAGCAUUUUUUACAUUGUAUAAACUUUCUUUUAAGUGUCCCUUCCUUUUGGGGGGAUGUGCAAACAGUUGGGUUUGUGCGUCGCCCUCAACUUGGUUAGCGUGAAGAUAAUGUUGGGGGUCUUUUCUUCGGUGUUAUGAGUUUUGUUUGAAAACACACCUCAUCAUAUAUUAAUUAAAUAAAAAAAAUAUUGUUCAUUACAGCAUUUGCCAUGCAAGGCGGGACACUAUUAACAAGGACCCCAUCGAACUAGAAUUCCCGAUGGGCCACCACAUUGGCAACCGAUUAAUCUUAGAGAACUUAACAACGGUGAUUAGCUUUGUGAUGCUCGUUGCUUUCUUCUUCAAAUGAAAUUACGGGGGCAUGUCAAGGUUUUCUUUCGUAAGUAGAGCAGCUACAAGCGUGCAAUCAGUCUCUAAAAUAAUGGUAUUGUAAAACUGAUACGCCGAAGCUCGGCUUCUUUGCGUUAGUUGAGAGCUUCUCGCGCUUAGGGCAACUCCCACGGACCGACCCAAAUGAAUGACGAUUUUGUUCAUCUUUUGUCCGUUUGGAUCGGCCAGGCGGACACGAAUGUCCGCUUCGACGUUUGGGUCGAUGUAUGCGUCAAACGCUGACUCGAUCUAUUUUUACCGGCGUGCAUCAAACAUGCAUAAUUAUUAAUGAAAACGGUCGCUUAAACAUUAAAAAAGCCGGCCACGAAGGCCGACGAGAGUCCACGCGUUACAUUAUUAAAUGAAAAAUAGGAAGAAGAAAAAACCUAGGCGUCCUCGACGGCGGCGUCGAGGUCAGGCUGUGCCGGAGCAGGGGCGGGCUCUGCUCGUGCGGGUAGUGCUGGUGUCGGCGGUGGCGCAGCAGCACGGGCACGCUCGCGCGCGUGGUGCAUCGCCAUCUGAGCUUCAAGGUAGACGGCCUCCUUUGGAAGAAGCGCGCUGGCGUGGACGACAAGGGUGUUCGGGAAGAAGCCGGGUGUAGCACGGGCGCGCUCGUGCGCCUGGUGCAUCCUCCUCUGGCAGCAUCGCACUAGCAUAGACGACGAGGUUGUCGCCGUUGUCCAUGGCUGCUGGGUUGUCGACGAGGAAACAAAUGGGUGGCGAGAUGUGGACGGGCGGGCUUCUGAAAGCAGAUGGCGGAAACCACCGCACGUUCGGAUUAAAAAAGGCUGGCUGCGGUCGCCGACACGUGGGCCCGAGGAUGGCGGCCGUCAUAAAUUAUAUUGACCGCGGUGGUUGGGGGCGGACACCGAGGGGGCGCGCGUGUCCGCUUCGCCUCCGUGCCGACGCAUUUCAGUCUAAAAUUUGGAUCGGAAAUGGGUCGAUGCGGACGCAAAGCAGACGCAUUUUGACAAUGGAUCAACGCGUUGAGUCAUUAUUUUUAUCCACACUGAUCCAAACAGAUGACAGCGAACGAAAUGGGUGGCCUGAUUGAAGUUGCUCUUAGGAAACCAAGUGUGUACAAGUCGAAAACCGCCCGCUGAGGAGAUAACUAAGAUUAACUUUGACGGCUCUUUCGUUCCAGGAGAAGAUCAUGUUGGAUGUGGUGUUGUUGCACGGACCUUUGAUGGCUGUCAUCGUUAGUGCUCGGGCUAGCAAACAGGAUCAUGUGAAGGGCCCCUUCGCCGCGCUAAGAUCAUCUAUAACCGGACCUUUAAAAUUCGGCACUCAAACACGUCCGCACACGUAUCUGGACGGUCGCUUAUAUUUAAUUCUGUGCAUUCAUAUAUUUAAUAUCCGGAUUUUCAUAUCGAUACAAAGCAAUGCACGUAGAUCAUCCGAUAAUAGACACUGCACGUAAAAUAGGUGUUGGUACCGAACAUAAAAAAAGUUUACAUCAAUUUUAUUUAAAGUGCACGAUGCAUCGGAAUUCAUCGUUUUCACUAAAAAUUUGACCAACAAAUCCGGUCAGAUAUUAUGUCAAACACAUCCGACGCAAGGUACAACCAAAUAGUUGUCGGACGUACCACGGUGUCUUCAGGGCCAACGACGACGUCCUGCGCAGAGAGGUCGGGAGAGAAGAUUGAUACGUCUCCGUCGUAUCUAACUUUCUAAAUUCUUUUGUACUUAUUUUGGAAUCAAAUUUGCAUGAUUUGAAUGGAACUAACACGGAAUGACGUUGUUUUCAGCAGAAUUGUCAUGGUGUUGUUUUUGUGCAGAAAUGAAAGUUCUUGGAACGUCCUGAAAAUUUACGGAGAAUUUUUCUGAAAAAUAUGAAAAAUACCUGCGCAAAGAUCCACCAGAGGGGGUGGGCCAGUGGGCCACAAGCCCUGUUGCCGCGGCCACCCCCCUGGCCGCCUAGAAAAAAAUCAGAAGAGAAGAUUUCGUCGCGUUUGCGAUACGGAUCCGCCGCCACAUCUUGUUCUUCAUCUCGAGGACAGAUCUGGAGUCCGUUUUAGGCUCCGGAGAGGGAAAAUCGUCGCCAUCGUCAUCAUCAACCUUCUUCCCUCUCCAAUUUCAUGAAGUUCUUCAUCGUUCGUGAGUAAUCUAUUCGUAGGCUCGCUGGGCGGUGAUGAGUAGGAUGAGAUCUAUCAUGUAAUCGAGUUAAUUUUGACGGGGAUUGAUCCCUAGUAUCCACUAUGUUCUGAGGUUGAUGUUGCUACUACUUUGUCAUGCUUAAUGCUUGUCACUAGGGCCCGAAUGCCAUGAUUUCAUAUCUGAAAUUAUUAUGUUGUCACCAAUAUAUGUGUGUUUUAGAUCCAAUCUUGCAAGUUGUAGUUACCUACUAUGUGUUAUGACCCGGCAACCCCGGAGUGACAAUAACCGGAACCACUCCCGGUGAUGAUCAUAGUUUGAGGAGUUCAUGUGUUCACCAAGUACUAAUGCGUUGUUUCGGUUCUUUAUUAAAAGGAGAACCUUAAUAUCCCAUAGUAUCCUUUUGGACCCCGCUGCCACGGGAGGGAUGGACAAUAGAUGUCAUGCAAGUUUUUUUUCCCUAAACACGUAUGACUACACACGGAAUGCAUGCCUACAUCACAUUGACGAACGGGAGCUAGUCACAUAUCUCUCCGUGUUAUAACUGUUGCAUGAUGAAUAUCAUCCAAACGAAUCACCGACCCAUUGCCUACGAGUUCGUCCCACUGCUACUGCUGUUACUUGUCUUGCUCUACUGCUACUGCUGUUACUUGUCUUGCUCUGCUGCUACUGUUGUUACUACUGUCGCUUGCUACUGUUGCUACUUGCUACUGAUGUCACUACUGUUGUUCCUUGCCAGUGCUAUUACUUGUUACACUGCUGCUACCUGCUACAAUUUUGAUUCGUUGUUCGUUGAUGGGAACAGACAAUUUCCGUCAACGGGCAACUUCUCGCGCCAUUGAUAUAAUUGUUAGGAAUAGUCUGCCGUCAACAGAUCGUUUCUGACACCGUUGUUAUCAUACUACUUUGCUGCUGACUCUUUGCUUGCAGAUACUAAUCUUUCAGGUGUGGUUGAAUUUGAUAAAUCGAGCUGUUAAUACUCGAGAGUAUCCUCUCACCUCCUUUUGGCGUAUCAACAAAUUUGGGUUGAAUACUCUACCCUCGAAAACUGCUGCGAUCCCACGCACUGGUGUGCCGUCAACAACAUUCUUCUAGUUUUGAUUGCCGGAGAGUGCUAGCAGCAUUCUUCUGGUGCCGUUGCAGGGGAAGGUCUGUUGUCACAAAGUCAGCAUUUUUCGGGCGCCGUUGCCGGGGAGGUAUUGCUAUAUUCUCUGAGUCACUUGGGAUUUAUAUCUGCUGAUCACUAUGAAGAAUCUGAAGGAUCCAAAACCAAAGUCUUGCCCUCAACUACGAGAGGAGGUAAGGAACUGCCAUCUAGCUCUGCACUUGAUUCACCUUCAAGUAUGAGUAAGUUUGCGACAUCACCUCCUGCUAGAAAUCUUGAUAUGUCGCAUGUGCUUGAUGAUGCUUAUAAUGCUACUGCUAGAGAUACUAUGCUUGAUAUUAUGCCUGAUGAUGCUAUCCUUGAUACUAUGCCUCAUACUGCUAGAGAUACUAUGCUUGAUACUGCUAGAGAUGCUAAGCUUGAUACUGCCUUGCCUGAUGAUGCUAGAGAUGCUAUUUUGUCUGAUGAUGAUAUGUUUGAUACUGCUAGAGAUGCUACUUUGCCUAAUGUGCCACUAGGGGUAUUCCUUGAUGCUCAUAUUGCUAGAGUUACUGCCAAUGCUCGUGAUGCUUCUGAAACUGCCGAUACUAUUGAGAUAGAACCUGCUUUUGCUCCUGCUAGAUCUAGCUCUCCUAGAUAUGAAUUGCCUGAUGUAGAGNNNNNNNNNNNNNNNNNNNNNNNNNNNNNNNNNNNNNNNNNNNNNNNNNNNNNNNNNNNNNNNNNNNNNNNNNNNNNNNNNNNNNNNNNNNNNNNNNNNNAUCAAAGMUAGUCAGUGUCUUCUGAUUAUGAACAAGGUGUUGUUGCUUGAUAACUGGAUCACGUCAUUAGGAGAAUCACGUGAUGGACUAGACCCAAACUAAUAGACGUAGCAUGUUGAUCGUGUCAUUUUGUUGCUACUGUUUUCUGCGUGUCAAGUAUUUGUUCCUAUGACCAUGAGAUCAUAUAACUCACUGACACCGGAGGAAUGCUUUGUGUGUAUCAAACGUCGCAACGUAAUUGGGUGACUAUAAAGAUGCUCUACAGGUAUCUCCGAAGGUGUUAGUUGAGUUAGUAUGGAUCAAGACUGGGAUUUGUCACUCCGUGUGACGGAGAGGUAUCUCGGGGCCCACUCGGUAAUACAACAUCACACACAAGCCUUGCGAGCAAUGUGACUUAGUGAAAGUUGCGGGAUCUUGUAUUACGGAACGAGUAAAGAGACUUGCCGGUGAACGAGAUUGAAAUAGGUAUGCGGAUACUGACGAUCGAAUCUCGGGCAAGUAACAUACCGAAGGACAAAGGGAAUGACAUACGGGACUAUAUGAAUCCUUGGCACUGAGGUUCAAACGAUAAGAUCUUCGUAGAAUAUGUAGGAUCCAAUAUGGGCAUCCAGGUCCCGCUAUUGGAUAUUGACUGAGGAGUCUCUCGGGUCAUGUCUACAUAGUUCUCGAACCCGCAGGGUCUGCACACUUAGGGUUCGACGUUGUUUUAUGUGUAUUUGAGUUAUAUGGUUGGUUACCGAAUGUUGUUCGGAGUCCCGGAUGAGAUCACGGACGUCACGAGGGUUUCCGGAAUGGUCCGGACAUGAAGAUUAAUAUAUAGGAUGACCUCAUUUGAUUACCGGAAGGUUUUCGGAGUUACCGGGAAUGUACCGGGAAUGACGAAUGGGUUCCGGGAGUUCACCGGGGGGGGGGGGGCAACCCACCCCGGGGAAGCCCAUAGGCCUUGAGGGUGGCACACCAGCCCUUAGUGGGCUGGUGGGACAGCCCAAAAGGGCCCUAUGCGCCUAGGAAAGAAAAUCAAAGAGAAAAAAAAGAGGAGGUGGGAAGGGAAGGAAGGACUCCCACCCACCAAACCAAGUCCAACUCGGUUUGGGGGGGAGCCUUCCCCCUUGGACUCGGCCGACCCCCUUGGGGCUCCUUGAGCCCCAAGGCAAGGUCCCCUCCCUCCCACCUAUAUAUACGGAGGUUUUAGGGUUGAUUUGAGACGACUUUUCCACGGCAGCCCGACCACAUACCUCCACGGUUUUUCCUCUAGAUCGCGUUUCUACGGAGCUCGGGCGGAGCCCUGCUGAGACAAGGUCAUCACCAACCUCCGAAGCGCCGUCACGCUGCCGGAGAACUCUUCUACCUCUCCGUCUCUCUUGCUGGAUCAAGAAGGCCGAGAUCAUCGUCGAGUUGUACGUGUGCUGAACGCGGAGGUGCCGUCCGUUCGGUACUAGAUCGUUGGACUGAUCGCGGGAUUGUUCGCGGGGCGGAUCGAGGGACGUGAGGACGUUUCACUACAUCAACCACGUUCACUAACGCUUCUGCUGUACGAUCUACAAGGGUACGUAGAUCUCUCAUCCCCUCUCGUAGAUGGACAUCACCAUGAUAGGUCUUCGUGCGCGUAGGAAAUUUUUUGUUUCCCAUGCGACGUUCCCCAACAGUGGCAUCAUGAGCUAGGUUCAUGCGUAGAUGUCUUCUCGAGUAGAACACAAAAGUUUUUGUGGGCGGUGAUGUGCGUUUUGCUUCCCUCCUUAGUCUUUUCUUGAUUCCGUGGUAUUGUUGGAUUGAAGCGGCUUGGACCGACAUUACUCGUACGCUUAUGAGAGACUGGUUUCAUCGCUACGAGUAACCCCGUUGCUCAAAGAUGACUGGCAAGUGUCGGUUUCUCCAACUUUAGUUGAAUCGGAUUUGACCAAGGAGGUCCUUAGAUGAGGUUAAAUAGCAACUCAUAUAUCUCCGUUGUGGUGUUUGCGUAAGUAAGAUGCGAUCCUACUAGAAACCCAUGGUCACCACGUAAAACAUGCAACAACAAAAUUAGAGGACGUCUAACUUGUUUUUGCAGGGUAUGCUUGUGAUGUGAUAUGGCCAACGAUGUGAUGUGAUAUAUUGGAUGUAUGAGAUGAUCAUGUUGUAAUAGAAAAUAUCGACUUGCACGUCGAUGGUACGGCAACCGGCAGGAGCCAUAGGGUUGUCUUUAUACUAACGUUUGUGCUUGCAGAUGCGUUUACUAUUUUGCUAGGAUGUAGCUUUAGUAGUAAUAGCAUGAGUAGCACGACAACCCCGAUGACAACACGUUGAUGGAGAUCAUGGUGUGGCGCCGGUGACAAGAAGAUCGUGCCGGUGCUUUGGUGAUGGAGAUCAAGAAGCACGUGAUGAUGGCCAUAUCAUGUCACUUAUGAAUUGCAUGUGAUGUUAANNNNNNNNNNNNNNNNNNNNNNNNNNNNNNNNNNNNNNNNNNNNNNNNNNNNNNNNNNNNNNNNNNNNNNNNNNNNNNNNNNNNNNNNNNNNNNNNNNNNCUCUACGGAGCCACACCAGACCUUAGUGGGCUGGUGGGACAGCCCGCAAGUGCCCAAUGCGCCAAGAGAAGAAAAAUCAAGAGGAAAGGAAAAAAAAGGAAGGAGGUGGGAAGGAAGGGGGACUCCUCCCACCAAACCAAGUCCAACUCGGUUUGGGGGGGGGGGAGUCCUCCCCCCCUUUGGCUCGGCCGACUCCUUGGGGGUCCUUGGACCCCAAGGCAAGGCCCCCCUCUCUCCCACCUAUAUAUACGGGAGGUUUUAGGGCUGAUUUGAGACGAUUUUUCUCACGGCUGCCCGACCACAUACCUCCACGGUUUUUCCUCUAGAUCGCGUUUCUGCGGAGCUCGGGCGGAGCCCUGCUGAGACAAGGUCAUCACCAACCUCCGGAGCGCCGUCACGCUGCCGGAGAACUCUUCUACCUCUCCGUCUCUCUUGCUGGAUCAAGAAGGCCGAGAUCAUCGUCGAGCUGUACGUGUGCUGAACGCGGAGGUGCCGUCCGUUCGGUACUAGAUCGUGGGACUGAUCGCGGGAUUGUUCGCGGGGCGGAUCGAGGGACGUGAGGACGUUCCASUASAKCAACCGCGUUCANNNNNNNNNNNNNNNNNNNNNNNNNNNNNNNNNNNNNNNNNNNNNNNNNNNNNNNNNNNNNNNNNNNNNNNNNNNNNNNNNNNNNNNNNNNNNNNNNNNNAUGUGGUCGGGCAGCCGUGAGAAAAAUCGUCUCAAAUCAGCCCUAAAACCUCCCGUAUAUAUAGGUGGGAGAGAGGGGGGCCUUGCCUUGGGGUCCAAGGACCCCCAAGGAGUCGGCCGAGCCAAAGGGGGGGGAGGACUCCCCCCCCCCAAACCGAGUUGGACUUGGUUUGGUGGGAGGAGUCCCCCUUCCUUCCCACCUCCUUCCUUUUUUUUCCUUUCCUCUUGAUUUUUCUUCUCUUGGCGCAUUGGGCACUUGCGGGCUGUCCCACCAGCCCACUAAGGUCUGGUGUGGCUCCCCCAAUGCCUAUAGGCUUCCCCGGGGUGGGUUGCCCCCCCGGUGAACUCCCGGAACCCAUUCGUCAUUCCCGGUACAUUCCCGGUAACUCCGAAAACCUUCCGGUAAUCAAAUGAGGUCAUCCUAUAUAUCAAUCUUCGUUUCCGGACCAUUCCGGAAACCCUCGUGACGUCCGUGAUCUCAUCCGGGACUCCGAACAACAUUCGGUAACCAACCAUAUAACUCAAAUACGCAUAAAACAACGUCGAACCUUAAGUGUGCAGACCCUGCGGGUUCGAGAACUAUGUCGACAUGACCCGAGAGACUCCUCGGUCAAUAUCCAAUAGCGGGACCUGGAUGCCCAUAUUGGAUCCUACAUAUUCUACGAAGAUCUUAUCGUUUGAACCUCAGUGCCAAGGAUUCGUAUAAUCCCGUAUGUCAUUCCCUUUGUCCUUCGGUAUGUUACUUGCCCGAGAUUCGAUCGUCAGUAUCCGCAUACCUAUUUCAAUCUCGUUUACCGGCAAGUCUCUUUACUCGUUCCGUAANNNNNNNNNNNNNNNNNNNNNNNNNNNNNNNNNNNNNNNNNNNNNNNNNNNNNNNNNNNNNNNNNNNNNNNNNNNNNNNNNNNNNNNNNNNNNNNNNNNNUCGUAUAAUCCCGUAUGUCAUUCCCUUUGUCCUUCGGUAUGUUACUUGCCCGAGAUUCGAUCGUCAGUAUCCGCAUACCUAUUUCAAUCUCGUUUACCGGCAAGUCUCUUUACUCGUUCCGUAAUACAAGAUCCCGUAACUUACACUAAGUUACAUUGCUUGCAAGGCUUGUGUGUGAUGUUGUAUUACCGAGUGGGCCCCGAGAUACCUCUCCGUCACACGGAGUGAAAAAUCCCAGUCUUGAUCCAUACUAACUCAACUAACACCUUCGGAGAUACCUGUAGAGCAUCUUUAUAGUCACCCAGUUACGUUGCGACGUUUGAUACACACAAAGCAUUCCUCCGGUGUCAGUGAGUUAUACGACCUCAUGGUCAUAGGAAUAAAUACUUGACACGCAGAAAACAGUAGCAACAAAAUGACACGAUCAACAUGCUACGUCUAUUAGUUUGGGUCUAGUCCAUCACGUGAUUCUCCCAAUGAUGUGAUCCAGUUAUCAAGCAACAACACCUUGUUCAUAAUCAGAAGACACUGACUAUCAUUGAUCAACUGGCUAGCCAACUAGAGGCAUGCUAGGGACGGUGUUUUGUCUAUGUAUCGYASASAUGUAAAUGAGGUAGAGNNNNNNNNNNNNNNNNNNNNNNNNNNNNNNNNNNNNNNNNNNNNNNNNNNNNNNNNNNNNNNNNNNNNNNNNNNNNNNNNNNNNNNNNNNNNNNNNNNNNUGAACAAGGUGUUGUUGCUUGAUAACUGGAUCACGUCAUUAGGAGAAUCACGUGAUGGACUAGACCCAAACUAAUAGACGUAGCAUGUUGAUCGUGUCAUUUUGUUGCUACUGUUUUCUGCGUGUCAAGUAUUUGUUCCUAUGACCAUGAGAUCAUAUAACUCACUGACACCGGAGGAAUGCUUUGUGUGUAUCAAACGUCGCAACGUAACUGGGUGACUAUAAAGAUGCUCUACAGGUAUCUCCGAAGGUGUUAGUUGAGUUAGUAUGGAUCAAGAGAGCCUUUUCUGAUGAACGAUGCACCAUGCGAACUUAUUUAUGAGGAAGUUGGAGUCAACUUGAGCGAGAAACCGCUCCAAAACCAUCCCCUCGGGCAAAUGGCAAACCCUACAGUUCCAGUUUUACUGAAUUGGAGACUGGGAUUUGUCACUCCGUGUGACGGAGAGGUAUCUCGGGGCCCACUUGGUAAUACAACAUCACACACAAGCCUUGCAAGCAAUGUGACUUAGUGAAAGUUGCGGGAUCUUGUAUUACGGAACGAGUAAAGAGACUUGCCGGUGAACGAGAUUGAAAUAGGUAUGCGGAUACUGACGAUCGAAUCUCGGGCAAGUAACAUACCGAAGGACAAAGGGAAUGACAUACGGGAUUAUAUGAAUCCUUGGCACUGAGGUUCAAACGAUAAGAUCUUCGUAGAAUAUGUAGGAUCCAAUAUGGGCAUCCAGGUCCCGCUAUUGGAUAUUGACCGAGGAGUCUCUGGGUCAUGUCUACAUAGUUCUCGAACCCGCAGGGUNNNNNNNNNNNNNNNNNNNNNNNNNNNNNNNNNNNNNNNNNNNNNNNNNNNNNNNNNNNNNNNNNNNNNNNNNNNNNNNNNNNNNNNNNNNNNNNNNNNNAAACGAUAAGAUCUUCGUAGAAUAUGUAGGAUCCAAUAUGGGCAUCCAGGUCCCGCUAUUGGAUAUUGACCGAGGAGUCUCUCGGGUCAUGUCUACAUAGUUCUCGAACCCGCAGGGUCUGCACACUUAAGGUUCGACGUUGUUUUAUGCGUAUUUGAGUUAUAUGGUUGGUUACCGAAUGUUGUUCGGAGUCCCGGAUGAGAUCACGGACGUCACGAGGGUUUCCGGAAUGGUCCGGAAACGAAGAUUGAUAUAUAGGAUGACCUCAUUUGAUUACCGUAAGGUUUUCGGAGUUACCGGGAAUGUACCGGGAAUGACGAAUGGGUUCCGGGAGUUCACCGGGGGGGGCAACCCACCCCGGGGAAGCCCAUAGGCAUUGGGGGAGCCACACCAGCCCUUAGUGGGCUGGUGGGACAGCCCACAAGUGCCCAAUGCGCCAAGAGAAGAAAAAUCAAGAGGAAAGGAAAAAAAAGGAAGGAGGUGGGAAGGAAGGGGGACUCCUCCCACCAAACCAAGUCCAACUCGGUUUGGGGGGGGAGUCCUCCCCCCCUUUGGCUCGGCCGACUCCUUGGGGGUCCUUGGACCCCAAGGCAAGGCCCCCCUCUCUCCCACAUAUAUAUACAGAGGUUUUAGGGCUGAUUUUAGACGACUUUCUCACGGCUGCCCGACCACAUACCUCCACGGUUUUUCCUCUAGAUCGCGUUUCUACGGAGCUCGGGCGGAGCCCUGCUGAGACAAGGUCAUCACCAACCUCCGGAGCGCCGUCACGCUGCCGGAGAACUCUUCUACCUCUCCGUCUCUCUUGCUGGAUCAAGAAGGCCGAGAUCAUCGUCGAGCUGUACGUGUGCUGAACGCGGAGGUGCCGUCCGUUCGGUACUAGAUCGUGGGACUGAUCGCGGGAUUGUUCGCGGGGCGGAUCGAGGGACGUGAGGACGUUNNNNNNNNNNNNNNNNNNNNNNNNNNNNNNNNNNNNNNNNNNNNNNNNNNNNNNNNNNNNNNNNNNNNNNNNNNNNNNNNNNNNNNNNNNNNNNNNNNNNUAAAAUAGAAAAAGAAUUUUUACUAUCUCUUUUUUCUUUCUUUUUUUAUUUUCAUUCCGUUUUCUCUGGUUAAUAGUGAAUGUUAGGUUUUUGGGUCUUGUUUUUUUAUAAACUAAAUCAAUUCUCUCUUUUUUUAAAUGAAAUGCAGGAACCAGCUGCCCCUUUCGAGAUAUUCUAAAAAAAACGAGUUUCUUCUUAAAGAGUGCGUUCCAGAUUCACAACCUGCACACCUACCUUGGGUUGGACACGCCUGCAACCCACAACAGCCUGAACCAAACCCUUGUUAAGAAAAGAAAAAAAAAACAAAUCAAACGCUUGCACCGGCACGUAGCAUCACUACCGCACUCUCAUUUGCAAGCUUUUCGUGUGUAGUCCGGCAUGUAAAUUUCAUCACGCCACGGGUCGCGCCGGUGCCAAAAACUUGAUCGCCUGUGAAGGGUUGAUCCAUUCCAUUCACCGCAACAAGCUUUCCGUUGAAAGGUGCCAACUUAUUAGCACAAGCUAGACGUGACGGCGUGCUCUGCUCCUAGCGGCUACCGCCCCUUAUUGCUUGUGGUUGUGGCUGUAUCCAUCCAGGCAUGUGUUGGUUUGCGUGCGUGCCUGGCAACGCCGAGGUAAACCUUUUCAGGACGUGCGUGCGUGCUCUGCUCCUAGCUCGCACCCAACCUCCACUCCACUCUUCAGGACGGAGCUUAUCCCUGACGCGAUUCAGUUUCGUCGGCGUGUUUAGGCGACGACGUGUAGCCAGAAAACACUAUAUUUAGAUGAUGCAUGGAGCGGGUAUGGUUGCAAUUUUGUGGACAAACCAAAUGUGUCCCGAUAGCUUAAAGGCUCCUUUUAUACAAAGGAAUUUCAUUGAAUUUUUAUAGGAUUUUUUUUACUAUGGUCGUUUGAUUCAUAGGAUUGAAAUCCUUUGGAAUUUUUUCAUAGGAUUCAUUUGUACUAUAUUUUGAAGGAAUUUUUUCAUUCACUCAAACCUUUUCGUAGUUUUUUUUUGUUUGUUUGUUUGUUUUUCCUAUGUUAUCAAACACAUUUUCAAAUCAUGUAUUGGAAAAAAAGACAUGACAUUUCAUUCCUACGUUUUUCUGUUUCUGCAUCUGCAUUUUAAGAAUCCUAUGAAUGAAAGAGGUGCUAAUACGAACAUAAAAACAACUAAAAUCAAAACAUCACUUCAUGGCCGGGCCCUUGCCCUUGCGGUCGGCGACGUGGCGGACCAUCUUCUCCAUGUACGCAGCGACAGGAAGGGUCAUUGUACAUUGUGUUGUCGCUUGUCUUUGAUAUGGACGAAAUGUACCUGGAGAGACGGCGAAGGAGGCGUUGUUUCUCCUUUGCUUGGCAGGCGGUCUCCAAGGCACUCAGACACCUCGAGGCCGAGGCGGAGAGCCUUCAUUUUCUUGUAUCGGAGGCGCUGCGUGUCGGUCUUCGUCGUGGUCAGCAACCGCCAUACGACCUCGCGGAUGAGCGCGUCCUCCGAGUCGACAGGGAUGGAGCGCGACCGCUGGCGAUAAGAGCUAGGCGCCGUCAAAGCCUCUGCCAGCUGUCGCUCACACUGGGGUGUCGUGGGUGGUGCCGCCGCUAGCUAGGCGCCUUCGCCUCCGACUCCAGCAUGCACAUCCGCAUUGGAGCCACAGGCAUGAGCACGCACCGCUACCGGGUUGUCUCGGGACCAGAGUGGUGCACGCGCAGGAGAAGAAGGGGAGACGACCGUGGGACAAAUCUAGAGUGGCGCUGAGCGGAAAGAGAAAGUGUGUCCUUCAUUCAUAUGACGACAUGUGGAGGAACUACCGCCAAUGUCCACACACGAGAGCAAGCUGGCGAUGCGGAGCACGUGCUAUUCGUUCGUGUGGCGCGUCUAAGCUAGAUCAGGCGUCUUCCUCCUUGACGAGCCCGUCCUAGUCGCUGGGAUUGGAUUCGUUGUCGGAGCGCUCACCGAAGUUGGCCAUGGCAGUGGGUGUUGGGGAACAUUGCAUGGGAAACAAAAAAAUUCCUACGCACACGAAGACCUAUCAUGGUGAUGUCCAUCUACCAGAGGAGAUUAGAUCCACAUACCCUUGUAGAUCGCUAAGCGGGAAGCGUUAAAACAACGCGGUUGAUGUAGUGGUACAGCUUCAUGAUUCAAAUCACCGUUAUCCCAAGAUCCGUCCCACGAUCCGUUCCGAUCUAGCGCCGAACGGAUGGCACCUCCGCGUUCGAUAUCAACCUUCUUGAUCCAGCAAGAGAGACGGAGAAGUAGAUGAGUUCCCCGGCAGCGUGACGGCGCGCCGGUGUUGGUGAUGAUCUAUUCCUGCACGGCUCCGCCCGAGCUCCGCAGAAAUAUAAUCUAGAGGAAGAACUACGAGGUGUAGGUUUGAAUUGCACGUGGCAAAGUUGUGUCUCAAACAGCCCUAUAGGAGGAGUCAAGGGGUGGGGCAAGCCCUUAGGGCGCCGGCCAAAGAGGCCCUCCUUGGGUCGGCCGAAGUGGGAAGGGAGGAGUCCUUCUCCAAUCCCACUUGGAUUAGGACUCCUUCCUUAAUUUCCCACCUCUUUUGGAUUUUCCACAUUUUCCUCAUGGGCUUUCCUUGGAUGACUUUGUGAGCCCAUUAUACCUUAUUUUACAUCCAAUAAACCCACGUGGACCCCUUGGGGCAUGGUGGGUCCACCCAGUGGGCCCCCGAAACCCAUUCGUCACUCCCUGUACACUGCCGACAAUGCCCGAAAACUUUGCGGAAUCCAAACACCAACUUCCUAUAUAUAAAUCUUCGUUUCCGGACCAUUCCGGAAACCCUCGUGACGUCCGUGAUCUCAUCCGGGACUCCGAACAACCUUUGGUCACCAACACAUAUAACUCAACUAUACUAAAACACCAUCGAACCUUAAGUGUGCAGACCCCGCGGGUUCGAGAACUAUGUACACAUGACCCGAGACACUCUCUGGUCAACAACCAACAGCGGGACCUGGAUGUCCAUAUUGGUUAUAUGUGUGUUGGUGAGUUAUAUGUGUUGGUGACCGAAGUUUUAUUCGGAGUCCCGGAUGAGAUCCUGGACAUCACGAGGAGUUCCGGAAUGGUCCGAAAACGAAGAUUGAUAUAUAGGAAGUUGGUAUUUGGAUUCCGGAAGGUUUUCAUGCAUUGUCCGGAGUUUACUGGCAGUGACGAAUGGGUUCCAGGGGCCCACUAGGUGGGGCCACCACGCCCCAAGGGGUCCACAUGGGUUUAUUGGAUGCGCAAUAAGGUAUAAUGGGCUCACAAAGUCAUCCAAGAAAAGGCCAUGAGGAAAAAGUGGAAAAUCCAAAAGAGGUGGGAAAAUAAGGAAGGAGUCCUAAUUCAAGUGGGAUUGGAGGAGGACUCCUCCCUUCCCCACUUCGGCUGACCCAAGGAGGCCUUCCUUGGCGCGCCAAGGCUGUCCCUUCCCUCCUCCUAUAUAUACUAGAGGUUUAGGGCUUUUGAGACACAACUUUGUCACGUGUUGCCCUCUCCUCUAUAUCGUAGUUCUUCCUCUAGAUCGAUUUUCUGUGGAGCUCGGGCAGAGCCCUGCAGGAAUAGAUCAUCACCAUCACUGGCGCGCUGUCACGCUGUCGGAGAACUCAUCUACUUCCCCGCCCCUCUUGCUAGAUCAAGAAGGCGGAGAUCGUCAUGGAGAUGUACGUGUGUGGGACGCGGAGGUGUCGUCCGUUCGGCACUUGAUCGGGACGGAUCACGAGAUGGUUCAUGCGACGGAUCGUGGGACGGUUCGUGGGACGGAUCGUGAAGAUGUUGUUGGAAAUAUGCCCUAGAGGCAACAAUAAAAUGGUUAUUAUCAUAUUUCCCUGUUCAUGAUAAUCGUCUAUUGUUCAUGCUAUAAUUGUAUUAACAGGAAACAGUAAUACAUGUGUGAAUAAAUAGAUCACAAUGUGUCCCUAGCAAGCCUCUAGUUGGCUAGCUCGUUAGUCAAUAGAUGAUCAUGGAUUCCUGAUCAUGGGCAUUAGAUGUCAUUGAUAACGGGAUCACAUCAUUGGGAGAAUGAUGUGAUGGACAAGACCCAAUCCUAAGCCUAGCACUAGAUCGUAUUGUUCGUAUGCUAAUGCUUUUCUAAUGUCAAGUAUCUUUUCCUUCGACCGUGAGAUUGUGCAACUCCCGGAUACCGUAGGAGUGCUUUGGGUGUAUCAAACGUCACAACGUAACUGGGUGACUAUAAACGUGCACUACGGGUACCUCCGAAAGUGUCUGUUGGGUUGGUACGAAUCGAGAUCGGGAUUUGUCACUCCGUGUGACGGAGAGGUAUCUCUGGGCCCACUCGGUAGAACAUCAUCAUGAGAUCAAUGUGACUAAGGAGUUAGUCACACGAUGACGUGCUACGGAACGAGUAAAGAGACUUACCCGUAACGAGAUUGAACAAGGUAUAGGUAUAUCGACGAUCGAAUCUCGGGCAAGUUCUAUACCGACAGACAAAGGGAAUCGUAUACGGGAUUGAUUGAAUCCUUGACAUCGUGGUUCAUCCAAUGAGAUCAUCGUGGAGAAAGUGGGAGCCACCAUGGGUAUCCAGACCCCGCUGAUGGUUAUUGGCCAGAGAGGUGUCUCGGUCAUGUCUGCCUGUCUCCCGAACCCGCAGGGUCUACACACUUAAGGUUCGAUGACGCUAGGGUUAUAGGGAAUUGUUAUACAAGGUUACCGAAAGUUGUUCGAGUCCCGGAUGAGAUCCCGGACAUCACGAGGAGAUCCGGAAUGGUCCGGAGGUAAAGAUUGAUAUAUAGGACGGAUGGUUUCGGAUACCGGAAGUGUUUCGGGCAUCACCGGUAAUGUACCGGGACCACCGGAGGUGGCCCCGGGGGACCACCGAAGGGGGGCAACGACCCCGGGAGAUAAGGUGGGCCAAGUGGGGGUGGGAACCAGCCCCUAGGUGGGCUGGUGCGCCUCCCCACUCGGCCCAUUGCGCAAGGGAGAGAAAAGGGGUGCAAACCCUAGGACAGGUGGGCCUAAGGCCCACCAGAUGGUGCGCCACCCCCUCCUCCCCCUUCUGGCCGCCGCACCUCCCAUAUGGGGGGGGGGCUGCCGCACCCCCUAGGGUGGGAACCCUAGGGGUGGCACCCCCUCUCCCCUCCCCCUAUAUAUAUCGGGCACUUUUGGCCAUUGAGACACACGGUUUUUCCCUCUCUCUCGGCGCAGCCCUGCUCUUCUUCCUCCUCCUCUCCGUCGGUGCUUGGCGAAGCCCUGUCGGGAGACCUCAUCUCUCCAUCGACACCAUGCCGUCGUGUUGCUGCAGUUCUUCCCCAACCUCUCCCUCCUCCUUGCUGGAUCAAGGUGCGGGAGACGUAACCGGGCUGCACGUGUCUUGAACGCGGAGGUGCCGUUGUUCGGCACUAGAUCGGAAUCGCUACGAGUACGACUCCAUCAACCGCAUUCUAGCAACGCUUAGUGAUCUUCAAAGGUAUGAAUAUGCUCUUACCCCCUCUCGUUGCUGGUAUCUCCAUAGGAAGAUCUGAAUAUGCGUAGGAAAAUUUUGAAUUUAUGCUACGUUACCCAACAGUGGCAUCCGAGCCAGGUUUUCUAUGCGUAGAUUCUAUGCACGAGUAGAACACAAAAGUUGUUGGCGAUGAUUUGUCAAUUUGCUUGCCGCUACUAGUCUUAUUAUUUUCCGGCGGUAUUGUGGGAUGAAGCGGCCCGGACCGACUUUACACGUACGCUUACAUGAGACUGGUUCCACCGACAAACAUGCACACCGUGCAUAAAGGUGGCUAGCGGGUGUCUGUCUCUCCUACUCUUGUCGGAUUGGAUUUGAUGAAAAGGGUCCUUAUGAAGGGUAAAUAGCUUUGGCAUAUCAUCGUUGUGGCUGUCACGUAGGUAAGAAGGCGUUCUUGCUAGAAACCCAAAUCAGCCACGUAAAACUUGCAACAACAAUUAGAGGACGUCUAACUUGUUUUUGCAGGGUUUGACAUGUGAUGUGAUAUGGCCAAAGUUGUGAUGUUGCAUGUAUGAUUUAUGAGAUGAUCAUGUUAUUGUAAUAGGUUUCAUGACUUGCAUGUCAAUGAGUAUGACAACCGGCAGGAGCCAUAGGAGUUGUCUUAUUUUAUUGUAUGAGAUGCAACGCCAUGUGCUUACUACUUUUACUUCAUUGCUAACGGUUAGCUAUAGCAGUAGUGAUAGUAGUAGUUGGCGUGACGACUUCACGGAGACACGAUGAUGGAGAUCAUGAUGAUGGAGAUCAUGGUGUCACGCCGGUGACGAUGAUGAUCAUGCGAUGCCUGAAGAUGGAGAUCGAAAGAGCAAAGAUGAUAAUGGCCAUAUCAUGUCACUAUAUGAUUGCAUUGUGAUGUUUAUCAUGUUUUACAUCUUAUUUCUUAGAACGACGGUAGCAUAAUAAGAUGAUCCCUCUUAAAAUUUCGAGAACGUAUUCCCCUAAGUGUGCACCGUUGCGAAGGUUCGUUGUCUCGAAGCACCACGUGAUGAUCGGGUGUGAUAGAUUCUAAUGUUCGCAUACAACGGGUGUAAGCCAGAUUUACACACGCGAAACACCUAGGUUGACUCGACGAGCUUAGCAUGUACAGACAUGACCUCGAAUACAAGAGACCGAAAGGUCGAACAUGAGUCGUAUGGUUGAAUACGAUCAGCAUGAAGUUGCUCACCAUGGUGACUAGUCCGUCUCACGUGAUGAUCGGACACGGGUUAGUCAACAUGGAUCAUGUAUCACUUAGAUGACUAGAGGGAUGUCGAUUUAAGUGGGAGUUCAUACUUAAUUUGAUUAAAUGAACUUAAUUGUCAUGAACUUAGUCUAAAAGUUGUCUUUAUAAAUAUUGUAGAUGUCCAACGUCAACCUCAAUUUCAACGCAUUCCUAAGAAAAACAAGCUGAAAGAUGAUGGUAGCAACUAUGCGGACUGGGUUCGCAACUUGAAGCUCAUCCUUGAAGCAGCUAAAAAGGCUUAUGUACUUGAUGCGCCGCUAGGUGACCCUCCCGCUCCCGCAGCAACCCAGGACAUUCUAAACGUCUGGCAAACGCGGAGUGAUGACUACUCUCUGGUCAGGUGUGGCAUGUUAUACAGUUUAGAAACGGGGCUCCAAAGGCGUUUUGAGCAACACGGGGCAUAUGAGAUGUUCCAGGAGCUGAAGCUAGUUUUUCAAGCUUAUGCCCGUGUCGAGAGAUAUGAAGUCUCCGACAAGUUCUUCAGCUGUAAGAUGGAGGAGAACAGUUCUGUCAGUGAGCACAUACUCAAAAUGUCUGGGUUACACGGUCGUCUGACUUCACUUGGAGUCGAACUUCCGGAUGAUGCUAUAAUUGACAGAAUCCUCCAUUCUCUCCCACCAAGCUACAAAGGCUUUGUGCUUAAAUACAACAUGCAAGGGAUGGAGAAGACCAUUCCCGAGUUGUACUCGAUGCUCAAGUCUGCAGAAGUAGAAAUCAAGAAAGAGCAUCAAGUGUUGAUGGUCAACAAGACCACUAGUUUCAAGAAAGGCAAGGGUAAGAAGAACUUCAAGAAAGACGGCAAAGCUGUUGCCGCACCCGGUAAGCCAGAUGCCGGGAAGAAGAAAAAGAACGGACCCAAGCCUGAGACUGAGUGCUUCUAUUGCAAGGGAAAGGGUCACUGGAAGCGGAACUGCCCCAAAUACUUAGCGGACAAGAAGGCGAGCAACGUUAAAGGUAUAUGUGAUAUGCAUGUUAUUGAUGUGUACCUUACCAGCGCUCGUAGUAGCUCCUGGGUAUUUGAUACCGGUGCUGUUGCUCACAUUUGCAACUCAAAGCAGGAACUGCGGAAUAAGCGGAGACUGGCCAAGGACGAGGUGACGAUGCGCGUCGGGAAUGGUUCAAAGGUCGAUGUGAUCGCCGUCGGCACGCUACCUCUACAUCUACCAUCGGGAUUAGUUUUAAACCUUAAUAAUUGUUAUUUAGUACCAGCUUUAAGCAUGAACAUUGUAUCAGGGUCUUGCUUAAUGCGAGACGGCUACUCAUUUAAGUCAGAGAAUAAUGGUUGUUCUAUUUAUAUGAGUGAUAUGUUUUAUGGUCAUGCUCCGCUGGUGAAUGGUUUAUUCUUGAUGAAUCUCGAUCGUGAUGUUACACAUAUUCAUAGUGUGAGUACCAAAAGAUGCAAAGUUGAUAAUGAUAGUCCCACAUACUUGUGGCAUUGCCGCCUUGGUCAUAUCGGCGUUAAGCGCAUGAAGAAGCUCCAUACUGAUGGACUAUUAGAGUCUCUUGACUUUGAGUCAUUUGACACAUGCGAACCGUGCCUCAUGGGCAAGAUGACUAAGACUCCAUUCUCAGGAAUAAUGGAGAGAGCAACCGACUUAUUGGAAAUAAUACAUACUGAUGUGUGUGGUCCAAUGAACGUUGAAGCUCGCGGUGGUUAUCGUUAUAUUCUCACUCUCACCGAUGAUUUGAGUAGGUAUGGGUAUAUCUACUUGAUGAAGCACAAAUCUGAGACGUUUGAAAAGUUCAAGGAAUUUCAGAGUGAGGUUGAGAAUCAACGUGACAGAAAAAUUAAAUGUCUAUGAUCUGAUCGUGGAGGAGAAUAUUUGAGUCACGAGUUUGGCACACACCUAAGGAAGUGUGGAAUCGUUUCACAACUGACGCCGCCUGGCACACCGCAGUGCAAUGGAGUGUCUGAACGUCGUAAUCGCACUUUAUUAGAUAUGGUACGAUCUAUGAUGUCUCUCACCGACUUACCGCUAUCAUUUUGGGGAUACGCAUUAGAAACUGCAACAUUCACUUUAAAUAGGGCACCGUCUAAAUCCGUUAAGACGACACCGUAUGAACUAUGGUUUGGCAAGAAACCUAAGUUGUCGUUUCUUAAAGUUUGGGGAUGUGAUGCUUAUGUGAAGAAACUUCAACCAGAAAAGCUCGAACCCAAAGCGCAGAAAUGCGUAUUCAUAGGAUACCCUAAGGAAACUAUUGUGUAUACCUUCUAUCUUAGAUCCGAAGGUAAAACCUUUGUUGCCAAGAACGGAUCCUUUCUAGAGAAAGAGUUUCUCUCGAAAGAAGUAAGUGGGAGGAAGGUAGAACUUGAUGAGGUAAUUGCACCCCCUCUCGAACAGGAUAGUAGCGCAGCGCGGGAAGUUGUUCCUGUGGCACCUACACCGACUAAAAGGAAGUUAAUGAUGAUGAUCAUGAAGCUUCAGAUCAAGUUACUACUGAACCGCGAAGGUCCACAAGGGCACGCACCGCACCAGAGUGGUAUGGCAACCCUGUGAUGGAAAUCAUGUUGUUAGACAACGGUGAACCUUCGAACUAUGAAGAAGCAAUGGCGGGCCCGGAUUCCAACAAAUGGCUUGAGGCUAUGAAAUCCGAGAUAGGAUCCAUGUAUGAGAACAAAGUAUGGACUUUGGUGGACUUGCCCUAUGACCGGCGAGCCAUAGAAAAUAAAUGGAUCUUCAAGAAGAAGACUGAUGCAAACGGUAAUGUAACCGUUUACAAAGCUCGACUUGUCGCAAAGGGUUUUCGACAAAUUCAAGGAGUUGACUACGAAGAGACUUUCUCUCCCGUAGCGAAGCUGAAAUCAUGUUAGCAAUUGCCGCCUUUUAUGAUUAUGAAAUUUGGCAAAUGGACGUCAAAACAGCGUUCCUUAACGGGAACCUUAAGGAAGAGUUGUAUAUGAUGCAACCAGAAGGUUUUGUCGACCCUAAGGGUGCUAACAAAGUGUGCAAGCUCCAGUGCUCCAUCUAUGGGCUGGUGCAAGCAUCUCGGAGUUGGAACAUUCGCUUUAAUGAGGUGAUUAAAGCGUUUGGGUUCAUACAGGUUUACGGAAAAGCCUGUCUGUACAAGAAAGUGAGUGGGAGCUCUGUAGCUUUCCUCAUACUAUAUGUGGAUGACAUAUUAUUGAUGGGGAAUAAUAUAGAGAUGUUGGAGAGCAUAAAGGCCUAUUUGAACAAGAGUUUUUCUAUGAAGGACUUUGGAGAAGCUGCAUACAUAUUAGGCAUCAAGAUCUAUAGAGAUAGAUCGAGACGCCUCAUAGGUCUUUCGCAAAGUACAUACCUUGACAAGAUAUUGAAGAAGUUCAAUAUGGAAAACUCAAAGAAAGGGUUCUUGCCAGUUUUGCAAGGUAUGAGAUUGAGUAAGACUCAGUCGCCGACCACGGCAGCAGAUAGAGAGAAGAUGAGUUAUGUCCCCUACGCUUCAGCCGUGGGCUCUCUAAUGUAUGCCAUGCUGUGUACCAGACCUGAUAUAAACCUUGCCAUAAGUUUGGUAGGGAGGUACCAAAGUGAUCCCGAUACGGAACACUGGACAGCGGUCAAGAAUAUCCUUAAGUACCUGAAAAGGACUAAGGAAAUGUUUCUCGUUUAUGGAGGUGACGAAGAGCUCGUCGUAAAGGGUUACGUUGACGCUAGCUUCGACACAGAUCCGGAUGACUCUAAGUCACAGACCGGAUACGUAUAUGUGUUGAAUGGUGGGGCAGUGAGCUGGUGCAGCAGCAAGCAAGAAGUCGUGGCAGCAUCUACAUGUGAAGCAGAGUACAUAGCUACUUCAGAAGCGGCUCGUGAAGGAAUUUGGAAGAAGGAGCUCAUCACCGACCUUGGAGUGGUUCCAAGCGCGUCGGGUCCUAUGACACUCUUCUGUGAUAACACUGGAGCCAUUGCCAUAGCCAAGGAGCCCAGGUUUCACCGGAAGACGGAGCACAUCAAGCGCCGCUACAACUCCAUCCAGGACCAUGUCCAGAGUGGAGUGAUAGAUAUUUGUAAAGUACACACGGAUCUGAAUAUUGCAGACCCGUUGACUAAACCUCUUCCACGAGCAAAACAUGAUCAACACCAUAAUGCUAUGGGUGUUCGAUACAUCACAAUGUAACUAGAUUAUUGACUCUAGUGCAAGUGGGAGACUGUUGGAAAUAUGCCCUAGAGGCAAUAAUAAAAUGGUUAUUAUCAUAUUUCCUUGUUCAUGAUAAUCGUCUAUUGUUCAUGCUAUAAUUGUAUUAACAGGAAACAGUAAUACAUGUGUGAAUAAAUAGAUCACAAUGUGUCCCUAGCAAGCCUCUAGUUGGCUAGCUCGUUAGUCAAUAGAUGAUCAUGGUUUCCUGAUCAUGGGCAUUAGAUGUCAUUGAUAACGGGAUCACAUCAUUGGGAGAAUGAUGUGAUGGACAAGACCCAAUCCUAAGCCUAGCACUAGAUCGUAUUGUUCGUAUGCUAAUGCUUUUCUAAUGUCAAGUAUCUUUUCCUUCGACCGUGAGAUUGUGCAACUCCGGGAUACCGUAGGAGUCCUUUGGGUGUAUCAAACGUCACAACGUAACUGGGUGACUAUAAAGGUGCACUACGGGUACCUCCGAAAGUGUCUGUUGCGUUGGUACGAAUCGAGAUCGGGAUUUGUCACUCCGUGUGACGGAGAGGUAUCUCUGGGCCCACUCGGUAGAACAUCAUCAUGAGCUCAAUGUGACUAAGGAGUUAGUCACACGAUGACGUGCUACGGAACGAGUAAAGAGACUUACCGGUAGCGAGAUUGAACAAGGUAUAGGUAUACCGACGAUCGAAUCUCGGGCAAGUUCUAUACCGACAAACAAAGGGAAUCGUAUACGGGAUUGAUUGAAUCCUUGACAUCGUGGUUCAUCCGAUGAGAUCAUCGUGGAGCAAGUGGGAGCCACCAUGGGUAUCCAGACCCCGCUGAUGGUUAUUGGCCAGAGAGGUGUCUCGGUCAUGUCUGCCUGUCUCCCGAACCCGCAGGGUCUACACACUUAAGGUUCGAUGACGCUAGGGUUAUAGGGAAUUGUUAUACGAGUUUACCGAAAGUUGUUCGGAGUCCCGGAUGAGAUCCCGGACGUCACGAGGAGCUCCCGAAUGGUCCGGAGGUAAAGAUUGAUAUAUAGUACGGAUGGUUUCGGAUACCGGAAGUGUUUCGGGCAUCACCGGUAAUGUACCGGGACCACUGGGACCACCGGAGGUGGCCCCGGGGGACCACCGAAGGGGGGCAACGACCCCGGGAGAUAAGGUGGGCCAAGUGGGGGUGGGAACCAGCCCCUAGGUGGGCUGGUGCGCCUCCCCACUCAGCCCAUUGCGCAAGGGAGAGAAAAGGGGGGCAAACCCUAGGCCAGGUGGGCCUAAGGCCCACCAGAUGGUGCGCCACCCCCUCCUCCCCCUUCUGGCCGCCGCACCUCCCAUCUGGGGGGGCUGCCGCACCCCCUAGGGUGGGAACCCUAGGGGUGGCACCCCCUCUCCCCUCCCCCUAUAUAUAUCGGGCACUUUUGGCCAUUGAGACACACGGUUUUUCCCUCUCUCUCGGCGCAGCCCUGCUCUUCUUCCUCCUCCUCUCCGCCGGUGCUUGGCGAAGCCCUGCCGGGAGACCUCGUCUCUCCAUCGACACCACGCCGUUGUGUUGCUGGAGUUCUUCCCCAACCUCUCCCUCCUCCUUGCUGGAUCAAGGUGCGGGAGACGUCACCGGGCUGCACGUGUGUUGAACGCGGAGGUGCCGUUGUUCGGCACUAGAUCGGAAUCGCUACGAGUACGACUCCAUCAACCGCGUUCUAGCAACGCUUCCGCUUAGCGAUCUUCAAAGGUAUGAAGAUGCUCUUACCCCCUCUCGUUGCUGGUCUCUCCAUAGGAAGAUCUGAAUAUGCGUAGGAAAAUUUUGAAUUUAUGCUACGUUACCCAACAGACGUACCACUACAUCAACCGCGUUCGUUAACGCUUCCGCUUAGCGAUCUACAAGGGUAUGUGGAUCCGAUCUCCCUCUCGUAGAUGAACAUCACCAUGAUAGGUCUUCGUGUGCGUAGGAAAUUUUUUCUUUCACAUGCAACGUUCCCCAACAACCUACUCCAAACCAAAAAGACCAAAUGGAGGCAAGAAACAAGCAAAAGAAAAGAAGAAGAGGAAAGGCGAUGAUGAGCUAACCAUUGUUAUGGAAGCUAUUGUGAACACAAGGAAGGAAGCAAACGAGGUGAGGAAGAUGGCAAGGAACCGAGAUGCGGCGGCCAUGGAAGAGUGAACUAGAUUCUUGGAAUGGGAGAAAUCAUUGAUAUUCAUGGACACAUCUACCCUCGAUGAGAAGCAAAAGGAAUACGUCAAUCUUGCUCGUGAAGAAGUCUUGGUACAAAAAAGAGGCAUGGGUGGCUUCGGAGCUACCAUGGGAGGCAUGGGAGCCAUGGGUGCCAUGAAAAGGUUGGGAGGCAUGGUAGCACCUCCAACCAUGGGUGCCAUGCGAAGCACGGGAGGCAUGGGUGCCAUUGGAGGCAUGGGAGGCAUGAGUUUUGUGUCUCUCAUUGGAGGCAUGGGAGGCAUGGGAGCACCUCCGGGUGACAUGAAAAGCAUGGGAGGCAUGGGAGCACCUCCGGAUGACAUGGGAGGCAUGGGAGCACCUCCGGGUGACAUGGAAAGCAUGGGAGGCAUGGGAGCACCUCCGGAUGACAUGGGAGGCAUGGGAGCACCUCCGGGUGACAUGGGUGGACGCAUGUCUUCCGGUGUGUCUCACGUACGUUCGCAUGAUGGCGUUGAAGAUUUUUCCAACACCUUCCGAGCUCCCCAUGUUGUUGCAGCACGCGACGAUGAGAAAAAGGAGGAAGAAACGUCGUCGGAUGAGGAAGAAGAAUCGCAGGAAGAGGAGGACGAAGAUGAGGGGGAUGAGGCAUGAUUGUUGAUGUGUCAUUUGUUUGUGUGAAUUUUUAUGUCAUAAACUAGGUUGGGUGAUUUUAAACUUGGUUGGAUGAUGAUAUGUGAUGUGUCAUGUCUUCGAACUUUUUAUGUCAUGACGAACUUGGUUGGGUGAUUUACACUAUGAUAUGCCUUGUUUUGAUGUUUCAAAUAUCACCAUAUUACCCAAAAAAUUAAUAUGUUGCAAGUGUCAGCUGCUGGAGCGACUCGCGCGCGCUGUAUUUUGUUGCGGCCGCUAGAGCUAGCGCUCUCCGGCGCGCUAAAAAUGGCUAUUUCGGCGUUGAAAAAAAAUUAGCGCCGCGACGGUUGCGCGGCUGUUGGAGAUGCUCUUAUCCCACUACUGAGCAUGAAGGAGUAGGUGAUUGACUACGCCAUCGAUGCAGCCAAUCGAAACGCGUGGGGCUUGUAGAAAGAGCGCGUCAGUUCUCGGGAAAUAGAGACAGAAAAUACAGAUUGGGAUAGAGAAGAUAGAUAUGACAGCUGAGACCACAUAGUCAAUGGGGGCAGAAACUUACCCCGACCAGGAUUGUUAUCUUUCCAGCCGAGCAAACCAGUUUCUUCAUAUCUAUGGUUGGGAUUGACCGAGAUCACAGGGUAUAGGGUGUCAAUUUCAGGGAUUAAAAGAUUAGGAUUUUGAUUCGGACCAGCAAUAUCAAUUCAAGGUUUAGAACAGACUUUUACUCAGAAAAUAAACAGUAGAUCCUAAUCAAACUGUGAAUAAACGGUACACGGUGCACCGGCGAUCCCUCAUUUUGUCAGCAUCCAGCACGGGGACCGGCCGGCAUGUGGAGACACUAGUAGCCAGUUCAUCCCCUUGGUCUGCCUCUCUCUGUCAAAUUGGCCUUCAGCUUCAGCUUCAGUCAGGCCAACUAAAUCAUUCAGAGGGCACUAAUAAUCGAGCACGAGCAUUCAGAUUCACGACUCGCUGAUCUGGCUCGACUUGGACGCUUUCGUCAACUACCUCUUGUCAAUUUAUUGCAUAUAAUGAUAUAAAUUUGCUAAUAAAUAUAAAGGAGUAAAGAUUUAAUUAAUUGUAUGCAUAAUUAACUGUUUACGUAAUAAUUGGAUUAAUGACUUGCUUUCCAAAAAAUCCGGUGCUCAUUUUUUAUUGGAAGCCACUACAUAGCAGCGCCGCAUGGGUGCCUUCCCGUGCGACGGUUUACCUUAUGCAUGCAAGUAAAUCCAUCAACGUGAUAUUAACAUAGAUUCUUUUAAUGUUUAAUUUUUAAUAAGUUUUAUAUCUUGAACUAUAAAUCCAAUUGACAAUCCGUUUUCACCGUUAGCUUCCUCGCAACGAGAUCUUCAAAACUAGAUCCCAUGUCGACAUGUUUCAAUGACAUUUUUUUUCAUCGAUAGUUGCCAGAUUAUUAUUAUUUAGUUGUUAGAUUAUGAGACACUUAGUAGCCACAUUUAAUUAACUUAGUUGUCAACUUGGCAAUUGUGUGUAUAGAUUUUUAUCAACUACGGUUGCUUAGACCCGACGACCGUGUUUGACGAAUGAUUGUUGUCUUGUAGCAAUUUUCAUUAUACAUGAUAUAAACGCAUGUCAUAGGUUUGGUUUGUCAAUUUAAAUAUGUCAACUUGUCAUAUUUACAUACAACUUUGCCAGAUUUUUUUUCGUGUGUUUGCUAGUUUAAUUAUGUUGACUUGUCAUAUUUACUAACAAUUACCAAAAAAAGAUUUUUCUGAUCGUCGAUUUUAAAUAUGCUGAGUUGUCAUAUUUUUACAAGUUAUUGUCCUAAAAAUGUUGUUUGUGCUUGCUCGUUUGAUUAUGUCGAAAUGUCAUAUUUAUACGCAAUUUCCAAAUAAUAUAACGAUUAAGUUAUUUUUUAUCAGACAAGUAAGUACUUACUAAUAUGACAAGUACGUACAACAAAUGUGGUAAGUACAAGAAACAAAAAAGUUGUCGAAACAUGUCGACAUGGGAUCUAGUUUUAAAGAUUUCGUCGAAACAAAGUCAACGGCGAAAACGGAUCAUCGAUCGAAUUAACGGUUUUAAAGAUAAAACUUUUUAAAUUUCGGUCAUUUAAAAUGAAUCUGCACGCAUGCAUGCACGACGAAGAGUGUGCAAGCCGCCGCACACUAAUAACAAUAUGCAGCGCAGUUAGUUAGAUUUUCCCUUUUUUAUUAUAUUUGCAUUAAUGGUUGGAUGCAGACGGCGUACAAACUCCUUUGGGAAUAUAAAUACAUAUCGAUUAUAAGUUUAUUUAUAAAUGACGUGUCAACAUCAUAUAGCCACUUGCACGUUGUAUUAUGAACCACGCUCUUAAAGCUAACUUUUGCUUUACCUAAAGAGUUUCUACUGCCUUUCUUUCGAAUUUUCAUUUGGUUUUUCAUGAUUAACCGAGAAUGUUUGGUCUUUAGGUCCGUUUUCCUUAUAAACUGGACCGACUCUUUUCUUCAAAAUGAAAUGCAAGAAUCCGCUGCCCCUUUCAAGGGUUCUAUAAAAACGUGAUUCUCCAUUUCAAAAAAGAAAAAAAACGAGUUUUUUCUUAAGGCCUCGUUUGGUUAAGGGGGAUUGGGGAGGUUUUGAGAGGGAGGGAUUUCAGGGUAUUGAGUGAAUCCCUUUGUUUCACCCAAUCCUUUCAAAUCCCCGGGGUUUUGCUUCCACUAGUCCCCCGAGGAGGGUUUUGAAAUAUAUGGAUAGAAAGGGAUUGAAGGGGAACAGAGGGGAUUGGGCUAAGCAAACCCCUCCUACCAAAUGGGCGCGCGAGGAUCCGUGGGGUUUCUCGACCCCCGGGGAUUUUCCUCUCAAAUCCUCCCCAAUCCCCCUUAACCAAACGAGGCCUAAAGAGUGUUUUCUAGAUUCAUAACCUGCACACCUACCUUGGGUUGGACACGCGUGCUACCCACAACUGCCUGAACCAAACCCUUGUGUUAAAAAACCAGGCAGAAAUCAAACGCUUGCACCGGCACGUAACAUCACCACCGCAAGCUUGCACCGGCAAGCUUUUCGUGUGUAAUCUUUAGCUGACCGGUAUGUAAAUUUCAUCACGCCAAGCAGUGAAGACAGUUAAAAUAAUUAUGUUUGCCCCCGAUGUUUUUGUCUCAAGCUCCGCCACUAGCGCUAAGGCAUCGCACCGGAGCCAAAAACUCGAUGGCAUGUGAAGGCUUGAUCCGUUUCAUUCACCGCAACAAGGUUUCCGUUGAAAGGUGCUAACUUAGGCCCUGUUUGGAACCACCCAGAUUAUAUAAUCCAGUUUUUAUAAUCUAUUCUGUCUCCAAACAUAACAACUUAUGGUGUAGAUUAUAAAAACUAGAUGAAUAGAUUAUUAAAAACUCAUAAUCUACUCUAUACCAGCUAAAAUCAGAUUAUGGAUGGUAAUGACCCAUUACCCUUGUAAAGUUGAAGAUAAUUACACUCCUACCACCGUUAUCCUCUUUUUUUUUAAAAAAAACAAAGGGCAGACAUGUCAUUAUGCAAUGUAAAACCUGGAUUACAGUUUAUAUAAUCUGGCCUCCAAACAUGUUCACCUAGAUUAUUUUUAUAAACCAGAUUAUAUAAUCUAAUCUAGAUUAUUAUAAUCUAUUAUGGUUUCAAACAAAACCUUAUUAGCACUUCCUACGUAUUACAGUAGCACAAGCCAGACAUGACGGCUCUGCUCCUAGCGGCUAGCGCCCCUUGUUCCUUGUGGUUGUGGAUGGAUCCAUCCGUAGCUUGUGUUGGCUCGCCUGCCUGCCACUGCAACACCGAGGUCGAGAGGAGGUCGAACCCAACCUCCACUCCGCUUUUCAGGACUUCAAGCGUUUCAGUUUCGUCAGCGUGUUUAGUUUAGGCGACGAUGCGCAGCCCAGAAAACACUUUAUUUAGAUGAUGAUGCAUGCAGCGGCCUUGGUUGCGAUUUUGUGGACAAACCAAACGUGUCUUUUGGAGAUAAUCAGAAAAACACACUAACUUUUUCAAAUUAAUCCUAAAGGUUCCUUUGAUACAAAGGAAUUUCAUUGCAUUUUUUAAGGAUUUGAACCCUUAGGAUUUUUUUUUCAACGAUGGUCGUUUUAUUCAUAAGCUUGAAAUCCUUUGGAAUUUUUUCAUAGGAUUUUCACAUUAUAUUUUGGAGAAAAAUUUCCAUCCACUCAAAUCUUUUUAUAGAAUUUCUUUGUUUUUUUUUUGCUAUCAAACACACUUUCAAAUAAUGUAGAAUAGAAAAGGACAUGGCACUCUAUUCCUGGUUUUUUUUCUACUCCUGCAUUUUCAGAAUACUGGAAAUCAAAGAGGCCCUAAAACAAACAUAAAAAAACAACUAAAAUCUAACCAUCACUUCAUGGUCGGGCCCUUGCCCUUGCAGUCGGUGACGCGACGGACCAUCUUCUCCAUGUACGUGGCGACGGUGAGGGUCGUCGUAUGUUGUGUUGUCGCUCGUCUUCGUCGUGGUCAGUAACCGCCAUACGACCCCGCAGAUGAGCGCCUCGUCCGAGUCGGCAGGGAUGGAGCGCGACCAUUGGCGGAAGAGCUGGGCGUUGCCAAAGCCGCCGCCAGCUGUCGCUCACAUCGAGGCGCCUUCGCCUCCGACUCCGGCAUGUGCAUCCGCACUGGAGCCGCAGGCACAAGCACGCACCACUGCCCGGUGGUGCGGGCACAGGAAGGGAAGGGGAGACGACCGUGGGACGAAUCUGGAGCGACGUGGAGCGGGAAGAGCAAGCGUGUCCUGCAUUCCUUCGACGAAAGGUGAAGGAACUACCACAGGUGUCCACACGAGCGCUCGAUGGCGAUGCGGAGCGCGUGCUACAACGUUCUAUGGCGCGUCAAAGCUAGAUCCGACGGUUUCCUCCUUGAUGACCCUGUCCUAGUCAUUGGGAUCGUAUUCGCCGUCGAAGCGCUCACUGAAGUUGGCCAUGGCGGGAGGAUGGCAAGGUUCGGGAGGAAACGAAGGAGACGAGGAGGAACGAAGAAGAUGAGUCGAGGAGGAACGAAAAAGAUGAGUCAAGGAGGAACGAAGAAGAUGGAUGGGGAUUGUGGUCUAAUUAGAGUUUGUUGGAUGAUAUGUGGUUUUUAUGGGGCGACACGGGCCCUAGCGAAUUUGAGGUGCCCUGUUGGCAUCCCUCUGGUGACUGAACAGGUGGCUCGUCCGGACAUCUGGGACGGAUAUGGGGUUCGACUGUAGAUGCUUUUAGUUGCAAAAGAAAAAGGAAAUAGCUGAACCCUAUUCCUAAUCCGACGGCUGUAGAUUGGAGAAGUAGUUUCUGUUUGAUUGAACUAUCUCUUUCAUUGAAGAUCUGUGAAGAUUAAAUACAUACGGAACCGUCGCCACGAACGGAUGCGUCCGCUCGUGGGGGUCGUGGGAAAAACCGUCGCGUCGGUUGGCUAGGAACCACACGAAGCGGUUCUGUACAAGGGAGGAUUAUUCCCUAAUUAUCACAAUUAGUUUAAAUCCUAACACUCCCCCUAAUCCUCGCUUGUCCUUGAGACCGACAUCUUUGAAAUAUUCUCCUCCAAAACUCUGUGGGAAAAAUUGAGAAGAAAACAUACAAUAUGCCAUGAAAAACUCCUUCUAAAACCCAGUGGGAGAAAUAAGGAGAAAAUGACAUAUAUCGUCCAUGCUUGCAUUGAUAUUGCCUCAUUAAAAUCCUUUCGUAAGAAACCAUGUGGAAAACUCACAGAGGAAAAGAGUGCAAUAUAAAAGAUCUCAUGAUCUUAACAUGUUAUAUCCUAGGAGUUUUCUCCUCCUGAAUUUUGCAAGUCUCGAAGUCGUCUCAUACCAAUUCCAUUUACAUACUUAUGGAAUAAAGAACUUGGUAAAGACUUAGUAAAUAGAUCAGCGAGAUUAUCACUUGACUUCAUUUGCAAAAUACUUAUCUCCCCCUUCUCUUGCAGAUCAUGGGGAUAAAAUAAUUUAGGAGAAAUAUGCUUUGUAAUAUUGCUCUUAAUAUAACCCGUUUGCAUUUGUGCAAUGCAAGCAGCAUUAUCUUCGUAGAUAAUAGUGGGUGAUUUUAUCGAACCAAUCCCACUUGAACUUUGGACAAAGUUCAUCAUUCUACGAAGCCAUACACAUUCACGUGAUGCUUCGAACAAAGCAAUUAUCUCAGAAUAAUUGGUGGACGUUGCCACUAAGGUUUGCUUUGUUGACUUCCAAGAGAAGGUUGUACCUCCAUGUAAGAAGACAAAACCAGUCUGCGAUCUGGCAUCAUGGGGAUCUCACUAGUAUCCAGCACCGCAAUACCCCAUCAUGGUUCUCUCUUGAUUUUUCUGAUAGAAUAAACCAAGAUCUUUGGUGCCUUGAAGAUAUCUGGAAAUAUUCUUCACACCAACCCAAUACCUUUUUGUUGGUGAUGCGCUGUAUCUAGCCAGUAAAUUAAUUGCAAAUGCUAUAUCAGGUCUAGUGCAGUUUGCUAGAUACAUUAGUGCACCAACGGCACUAAGAUAUGGAAACUCUGGUCCCAAUAUCUCUUCAUCAUCACCCUUAGGCCUAAAUGGGUCCUUGUCUCUGUCAAACGACCUGACGACCAUAGGUGUUUUUGAUAGGAUGCUUUAUCCAUAUUGAACUUUUCCAGUAUCUUUUGGAUGUAAGUAGACUGAUGAACAAGUAUUCCUGAAGAAAAAUGUUCAAGUUGCAAACCAAGACAAAAUUUGGUUUGACCCAAAUCUUUCAUCUCAAAUUCCGUCUUGAGAUGAUUACUUGCCUCAUGUAUUUCACGUGUAGUCCCAAUGAUGUUCAAGUCAUCAACAUACACGGAAAUUAUAUAAAAUCCAUCAGUGGAUUUCUUGAUGAACACACAUGGGCAAUCAUUGUUGUUUGAGUAACCCUUCUCCAGAAGGAAUUCACUUAGUCGGUUAUACCACAUUCUACCCGACUGUUUCAAGCCGUAUAACGACCUCACUAGCUUUACGCAAUACAUGUUGCGGUUAGCUUUUGAAUCCGGAAUCUUCAGUCCCUCGGGAACUUUCAUAUAUAUAUAUAUCCGUCUUAAGUGACCCAUAUAAAUAUGCAGUCACAGCAUCCAUCAAUUGGAUAUACAAAUUCAUUUGCACUGCCAGUGAUAUCAAGUAUCGGUACGUGAUUCCACUCAUCACAGGAGAAUAUGUUUCAUCACAAUCGAUGCCGGGUCUCUGUGUAAACCUUUGUGCUACAAGCCUCGCUUUAUAUCUCACCACCUCAUUGUUUUCGUUCCUUUUACAAACAAAAACCCAUUUUUCCCCCACGGGGAAAACAUUAGGAGGAGUAGGUAUUACUGCAGUAAAUACCCCUCUCUUAGCAAGCGAGCGCAAUUCGUCCUCUAUUGCAACCUUCCAAUUGGACCAGUCUGAGCAUUUCAUACACUCUGCCAUGGACUUAGGUUCACGAUCCAAUGCCAGGUCAUCUGCAAUCUUUGAGGCAAAAAAUAUGUCGACAAUUGUAGUAUUUCUGUUGAAUGAUUCUCCUGAUUCAACAUAGUUGAUGGAAAUCUCAUCAAUACCUUCUGACUCAUUGUGAUUUCCCACAACAAUCGAGUCAAGGUGUACCGAUGUCCCAGCACCAAUAUUUGUGUGCACAGUUGUGCUGGGUUCUGGAUGCAUAACAUCCUUUAGGUGUCUUUCAACACUAGGUUGAAUAUCAACUCGUGGUUGAACUACAUUUACAAUUGAAGGGAUCCUCACUUCCCGCGGACGAUUCUGAGAAGUCAUGUUCUUCUUAUCCAGUUUUCUCCCCCUCUUGGGCGGUUGAGUGGUCUUAUGAGAUAUCUCAACUCUCUCUGGAACAUUCAUAGCGGGAACAUGGGAUUUAGUGACACAUUUAUAAUCAGUAAAUGCAUCUGGCUAAUUAUUUGCAAUAUUUUGCAAAUUAAUAAUCUUCUGAACUUCUAGUUCAGAUUCAUUCAUACGUGGAUCUAAGGACUGAAUGCCUUUAACAUUCCAAUCUAUUUCCCGACAUUCUUUGUGGUUCUUUUCUCCCCCUAAUGCCGGAAAAUUGUCCUCAUCGAAGAUACAAUCAGCGUACCGGGUUGUAAAUAGGUCCACUGUUAGAGGCUCCAGGUACUUUAUAAUCGACGGAGAAUUGUACCCCACAUAGAUCCCCAUUUUUCUAUGUGGACCCAUUGAUGUACGCUCAGGUGGUGAUAUCGGUACGUACACAGGCAACCGAAUCUUCGAAGAUGGGAAAUAUUUGGUUGAUUUACACGUACUAACUGCAGAGGGGAGGCUGUAUGAUAUGCAGUUGGUCGAAUUUGUAUCAACUCUACGGCAUGCAAUACCGCAUGUCCCCAACAAGAAGUUGGAAGAUUACAAUUCUGUAGGAGUGGUCUUGCUACCAACUUGAUCCUCUUGAUGAGUGAUUCCGCAAGACCAUUUUGUGUGUGUACAUAUGGUACAGAAUGCUCCAUAGUUAUGCCCAAGGCUAGGAAUAAUCAUUGAAUGCUCGUGAACUAAAUUCAGCAGCAUUAUCCAUUCUGAUGGAUUUUAUCCUGUGUUCAGGAUGAUUUGCCCUCAGUUUAAUGAUUUGAGCAAUCAACUUUGCAAAAGCAUGGUUCCUUGUUGAUAAUAGACACACAUUAGACCAUCUUGUUGAUGCAUCAAUGAGCACCAUAAAAUAUCUAAAUGGUCCCGAUAACGGUUGAAUUGGACCACAUAUAUCUCCUUGAAUGCAUUCAAGAAAAUUAAGUGGUUCAUUCUUGAUCUUCGGAUGUGAAGGUCUUGUGAUUAAUUUCCCAGUUGCACAUGCAGUGCAUACGAAAUCCGAGGAUUUGGGGAAAUUAGCAAGCGUUAUGUUGUGUCCAAUUGAACUGUCAAUAAUUUUUCUCAUCAUCCCCACACCAGGAUGACCCAGGCGAUCAUGCCAUAUCUUGAACUUGUCAAGAUUCUGAAAAAUUAUUUUGUAUGCCAAAUGUUGCUUUGGCUUGAUGUAUGUGUAAUACAGUCCAGAAGAUAGAGCAGGCAGUCUCUCAAGGGUUUCCUUGUCGGAUCCCUUCUGCUGAGUUAUGAGUAGGCUUUCAACCGCAUUGUCUUCAUGAGUUUCAAUGUGGUAGCCAUUCAUACGGAUAUCCUUAAAACUCAACAUGGUACGAGUUGAAUCCGGAUACAAUAAAGCCUCCUGGAUUUCAAGUUUUGUACCAUUCGGGAUGGUAAAUGUGGCUUGACCAGAACCAACAAUUACCGUGUCAUGACCACCAAUUGUCAUAACACUUCCAAGCAGAGCGUCGUAGCAGAUUCUAUAUGUGAAGCGGAGUAUAUGGCUGCCUCGGAGGCGGCUAAGGAGGGUGUCUGGAUGAAGCAGUUCAUGACGGAUCUUGGAGUGGUGCCAAGCGCACUGAAUCCAAUAACCUUGUUUUGUGACAACACGGGUGCCAUUGCCUUAGCAAAGGAACCACGGUUUCACAAGAGGACCAUACACAUCAAACGACGCUUCAACCUCAUCCGCGACUACGUCGAGGGAGAGGACGUAAAUAUAUGCAAAGUGCACACGGAUCUGAAUGUAGCAGACCCGCUGACUAAACCUCUUCCACGGCCAAAGCAUGAUCAACACCAGAACUGUAUGGGUGUUAGAUUUAUUACAAUGUAAUUCACAUGAUGAUGUGAGGGCUAGAUUAUUAACUCUAGUGCAAGUGGGAGANNNNNNNNNNNNNNNNNNNNNNNNNNNNNNNNNNNNNNNNNNNNNNNNNNNNNNNNNNNNNNNNNNNNNNNNNNNNNNNNNNNNNNNNNNNNNNNNNNNNUGAAUGUAGCAGACCCGCUGACUAAACCUCUUCCACGGCCAAAACAUGAUCGACACCAGAACUGUAUGGGUGUUAGAUUUAUUACAAUGUAAUUCACAUGGUGAUGUGAGGGCUAGAUUAUUGACUCUAGUGCAAGUGGGAGACUGUUGGAAUUAUGCCCUAGAGGCAAUAAUAAAUGUAUAGUUAUUACUAUAAUUCCUGUAUCAAGAUAAUAGUUUAUUAUCCAUGCUAUAAUUGUAUUGAAUGAAGACUCAUUUACAUGUGUGGAUACAUAGACAAAACACCGUCCCUAGCAUGCCUCUAGUUGGUUAGCCAGUUGAUCAAUGAUAGUCAGUGUCUUCUGAUUAUGAACAAGGUGUUGUUGCUUGAUAACUGAAUCACGUCAUUGGGAGAAUCACGUGAUGGACUAGACCCAAACUAAUAGACGUAGCAUGUUGAUCGUGUCAUUUUGUUGCUACUGUUUUCUGCGUGUCAAGUAUUUAUUCCUAUGACCAUGAGAUCAUAUAACUCACUGACACCGGAGGAAUGCUUUGUGUGUAUCAAACGUCGCAACGUAACUGGGUGACUAUAAAGAUGCUCUACAGGUAUCUCCGAAGGUGUUAGUUGAGUUAGUAUGGAUCAAGACUGGGAUUUUUCACUCCGUGUGACGGAGAGGUAUCUCGGGGCCCACUCGGUAAUACAACAUCACACACAAGCCUUGCAAGCAAUGUAACUUAGUGUAAGUUACGGGAUCUUGUAUUACGGAACGAGUAAAGAGACUUGCCGGUAAACGAGAUUGAAAUAGGUAUGCGGAUACUGACGAUCGAAUCUCGGGCAAGUAACAUACCGAAGGACAAAGGGAAUGACAUACGGGAUUAUACGAAUCCUUGGCACUGAGGUUCAAACGAUAAGAUCUUCGUAGAAUAUGUAGGAUCCAAUAUGGGCAUCCAGGUCCCGCUAUUGGAUAUUGACCGAGGAGUCUCUCGGGUCAUGUCUACAUAGUUCUCGAACCCGCAGGGUCUGCACACUUAAGGUUCGACGUUGUUUUAUGCGUAUUUGAGUUAUAUGGUUGGUUACCGAAUGUUGUUCGGAGUCCCGGAUGAGAUCACGGACGUCACGAGGGUUUCCGGAAUGGUUCGGAAACGAAGAUUGAUAUAUAGGAUGACCUCAUUUGAUUACCGGAAGGUUUUCGGAGUUACCGGGAAUGUACCGGGAAUGACGAAUGGGUUCCGGGAGUUCACCGGGGGGGCAACCCACCCCGGGGAAGCCCAUAGGCAUUGGGGGAGCCACACCAGCCCUUAGUGGGCUGGUGGGACAGCCCACAAGUGCCCAAUGCACCAAGAGAAGAAAAAUCAAGAGGAAAGGCAAAAAAAGGAAGGAGGUGGGAAGGAAGGGGGACUCCUCCCACCAAACCAAGUCCAACUCGGUUUGGGGGGGAAGUCCUCCCCCCUUUGGCUCGGCCGACUCCUUGGGGGUCCUUGGACCCCAAGGCAGGGCCCCCUCUCUCCCACCUAUAUAUACGGAGGUUUUAGGGCUGAUUUGAGACGAUUUUUCUCACGGCUGCCCGACCACAUACCUCCACGGUUUUUCCUCUAGAUCGCGUUUCUGCGGAGCUCGGGCGGAGCCCUGCUGAGACAAGGUCAUCACCAACCUCCGGAGCGCCGUCACGCUGCCGGAGAACUCUUCUACCUCUCCGUCUCUCUUGCUGGAUCAAGAAGGCCGAGAUCAUCGUCGAGCUGUACGUGUGCUGAACGCGGAGGUGCCGUCCGUUCGGUACUAGAUCGUGGGACUGAUCGCGGGAUUGUUCGCGGGGCGGAUCGAGGGACGUGAGGACGUUCCACUACAUCAACCGCGUUCACUAACGCUUCUGCUGUACGAUCUACAAGGGUACGUAGAUCACUCAUCCCCUCUCGUAGAUGGACAUCACAAUGAUAGGUCUUCGUGCGCGUAGGAAUUUUUUUGUUUCCCAUGCGACGUUCGCCAACAAUGUCGUCCAUGUCAUUGCGGUUCAAAGUCAUGAUCCUAUUCUCUUCGGUAAGAAGGUUGGCCAUGGUUUUGUUCUCAGCAGCAUGUGCUCUUCUCUCCUCAACGUCCUUGAGAAAUUUCCACCUCUCUUGCUUCUCUUUUGCCUUCUUCUCGGCCAACUCUAUCUUCGCCUCCAAAGACUUUGCUAGCAACACCUCAUUUGUUUGCAUCAUGGCAUUUAUCUUGUCCCGCAAGGUCGAUGCUUCGUGUUCCCUUUUGAUCUUCUUCUUUGUAUUUUUGUCAUCAUAGUCUUGUUCAAGUUUCUAGGGCCAUCAUCAUCUUCUUCUUCAUCCAUGUUCGUAAAUGAACCUCUCUUCGGUGGGGAUUCUGUGUUAAUCAACUUUCACUUGUCGUAGUUUUCGAGCUUUUCCCAACAAUGCUCUAGUUUAAUUACUUUUUUCCUUCGGAAGCUUCCAUGUCUUCGUACCGUUGUUGGGCAAUUUUUUCUACGCAAUUAAAACAAAGUCAAAUGAUGGAACCAUUUCACAUGAUGCAAACGGUGUGCACAACUUGGGACGUGAAAACAAACUCAUAUAGUCGAAUUCCACGGUUCCACUUGGAGGAGCAUUGCGAACUUGUUCCAAGCAAGCUGCCCAACGGCUACAAGUCGGUUUGAUCACGUCCAAGUGACCUUGGAGUGACCGAAAGGUCCGUGCUAUCCUAUUGGAUACUUGGUUAUGAAUUGGAAGUAUUGAUCUUCAAAUCUUUGCCAAUACAUCUUGGCGGUUUGGGACACACCCGUGCAAGGAUCCAUAGACACCAUACUACAAGCCUUGAUCAAGAUUCGAUCUUCCAAGAUCGUGUAGUUCUUCGAUCUCACAUUUUUUUGCUUGCGAUUGCUGAUACGUCCCCUCAUCUACCUCCUUCACCUCAUCUUCACCAUCGUGGUCAUCCACGCCACCCUCCAAUUCAUUGCAAUCAAAACCAGCGAUCGUGGCUUGGUUGAUGUCGACGACGUUGGUGGCCAACAAGUUCAUGAACUCGGCAACGUCAUUGUUCGAACCACCGCUAUAUUGAGUGACAUCACGUCACGACCUACCACAAUGGCGAAAAAUCGAAGCAAAAUAAGUGAACGAAGAUGCGUACCUUCCGGCCCUUUCAUCGAACACCUCGCGUGCGGUGAAAGAAAUGCAUCAUCGGGGAACGUCUCACCGGGAUGGAGGGAGUGGGUGAAGGCUGUUUCGUAGGAACCUUCUUCAACUUCACGCCCGAAACCUUGCUCACCUUCCCCGCCAGCGGCGCCUUCCCUUCCGACGGGGCCAGCUGGAAUGUCGCCCUACAUGACAAUGUUGCCUUGGCGCUUGCGGGGCAGGCACGUUGGUGCCUUGGGCGACGGCGGGGGUGGGGGGGGGGGUGGGGGCGCAUGGCCGGCAACGAGAUCCGUCGGAAGGGAUUGUGCGUGCACGACCUCCACGUUGACGAGAUCCGCCGGCUGGGAGGCUUCAAUGUCGACGAAGAAUGGCGGGGAAGAAGGUCCGGAGCGCGCGGUGGGCAGGGCAAUGGCUGCCGAGAAGGGGUGAGCCGGGAACGGCCGCGCGGAAAUUUCCCUCGUGCUGAAUCUCGUUGCGGACAAGGGGCGAGCUCGGGUCGACCUCCCACCCCGUGAAUCUGAAGGUGGAGGACAAACUUUUGCCGCGCCUCGUAAAAAAUUUACGGGGCGGACGCGUUUGCGGGUUCUGGUAUGGCAGCAUUUUUCGCCCCGACCCGUAUUUUGGCGGUUAUUUUGCGAGUCGGGGCAUUAUACAGGGUUUGUUAGAGAUACUCUAAGAUAUAAAGUUCUGGUGCUCGCAUUGUUUUUUAAUUUAUUUCAGGAUCUUCAAUGAUGCACGUUCAGUGGGAGGUGACGUUCCCUCGAUGACGAGGUGUCCAUAACGACUUUGUAAAUCUCAAAAUGAUAUGUCGAUCUAGUCUUUUGAAGAUCUUCAUAGGGAUAGAAUAUAUGUGUGCAUACAUAAAGAUGGAUGUAUGCGCUUAUAUAUGAACACUUGUGUGUGAAGUGUGUUAAAAAAACUAAGAGCUAACUAACACGUCUGGUUACUAAAACACACUGAUAACACAACAUUUGCACUGAAUCAUAACGUUGUUGUUUUUUUGCGGAAAAAAUCAUAACGUUUUUAUUUAAAAAACCUGUUGCUGUAUACGUACGCUAAAGAGAUGCGCGAAUUGUUCCCGCGACACGAAGAAACAAGCAGGAAGAAAUUGUCGGUGAUGGACUAGUAAAUGCAGUUGAGUCGUCACGCGGCUCCUGGCGACGAACUGACGCCGAUAGCGUUGCUUGUGUGUCUCGAGCUAAACAGCUGAAGAUGGAAGAGCCGUUGGAAACAUACGCAAACCGUGUGCGCGCGUCUUUGAAAGUGGCAUGCGAACGACGUGUCUUUGACUUGAGAGUCGAAGAAGAAGACGUACGUGGCCAUCACAUUCCCAUGUGUACGUAAAGUAGAUAUAUCAUAUCCAUGCGGUAGACGCGGCAUAAUCAAACGAGUUUGACCAGUUGCAGGGUUGAGAUGAAGUGGACGUGUUUAAAAAACAACUUUCGCCUCGUUUUUCUUUUGUUUGAGGGGAACUACCUCCUUUCCGGUUUAUAAGGCUUGCGCGUAUCCUUAGGUUGACAAAUAGACCGUCGUAAUAUAAGUUAUAUAUCACAAAAAAUAUGUCAUUAGAAACUUCAAACCGUCAUCUUUCUAAUGGUAUAAUUUUUAGACUAUACAACUCAUCUUAUCUUGAUCAAAUUGUAAAUAUAGAGAUACGUGCAAGCCUUAUAAUCUGGAAAGAAGGUAGUAACUCGUAAGAUCUCGGGGGAAGAAGCAGAGCACAUGCAUGGGCCCCGGUCUGCUGAUCUGCCGCGGCCCACCACGUUCGGUCAAAUUUGUUGUUUUGACUCUUUUUAAAAACUUAAACUUGAUUUGACCCCGGUUCGAAUUUUUCCGGACAGAAUUAUACAACCUAUCAUCAAAAACAGUAACGACAGAACUUAACUGCAUCAUUACAACCGUUAAACGUGAAUAAUACCAUACCAUGGACUGUGUAACCUACCGUCAAUGGCCAUGGCAAUAGGGGUAUCAGCCGUGGACUGAGAUCCAGUGACUUCACUUGGUGAAGUCACGCUGCAACUUUACCUUUGUAAUCUUCAUCCAAUCCACAUCCUACGGUCCACAUAACACAAGGGAAAAACUCUCAACACUUAGCAGUUUUCAGCCUAGCAACAAACAACAAUAGCUGCAAACAACGAUACAAUGGCAUUUGAAUUCAGUUUUAUUUGAACAGAAUGAAACCCAAAAAAUAAAGAACUGCAAAUACUCAUGAGCAGACAUCGAAUCGAGUAGAACUUGAUAUUAAAAGGCUGCAACANNNNNNNNNNNNNNNNNNNNNNNNNNNNNNNNNNNNNNNNNNNNNNNNNNNNNNNNNNNNNNNNNNNNNNNNNNNNNNNNNNNNNNNNNNNNNNNNNNNNUGCGUGCACCAACCGGCGGGGGCAAGGGCAUCCCCAGCCCGAAGCUUGCCGCAGACCCCCCCCCCCCCAACGGCCACUGUCUCGUGCGCCGGAGUGGGUGAUGGAAGGCACGGCGAGUCCGUCUGUGCGGGCUCCGCGGGCAGCGCCGGUGGUGCGGGCUCGACCUCCUCCUGGACCUCGUAGUCCAGUGGAGGAGACGACGACGGGGUCGGGCAUGGCCCCCAUCCGUGCACUGGGCAUGGAUGUGGUGGUGGAGACGCCGCAAGUUCCGGCUCAACGGCGUCGACGUCCAUUGCUCCGUCCACAUGCUCCAUUACUUCGUCCGCGUACAGGUUCGGAGCAGUCGGUCCGGCAAGAAUCCAGGCCGGGAGCGACGCCACCGCCGGCAUGGCCGGUUCACGCGAAGCACCGGAUGUCCCAGCACCGUGGCGACCAGGGGCGCCAUGCCUAAGACGUGGUGCACGGCGGCGGAAACCAUUCCGGCGGCCUCCGAACCGGCGAAGAUCGCGGGCGUGACGGCUCUAUCGACUCGACCGUCGUCACGAACGAGGUGCAGGAAGAAGGAUAGGAGACCACGAGGCAUCCUCUUACCUUCUCCUUUCCUCCCUUCUUUCUUCUUUUUCCCGGCGACUCUCGCCAGAGUUGUUUUGCCUUUUCUCUACUCUCGAUAGAGUUACGGGCUGAUAACGUGUUUGAUUGAACUAUCUCUUUCAUUGAUGAUAUGUGAAGAUUAAAUACAUACGGAACCGUCGUCACGAACGGAUGCGUCGGCUCGUGGGAAAAACCGUCGCGUCGGUUGGCUAGGAACCGCUUCGUGCGGUUCUGUACAAGGGAGGAUUAUUCCCUAAUUAUCACAAUUAGUUUAAAUCCUAACAGUUUCGACGACCCGAGACCGAAUGAACCAUGUGCCGACUGUGAAUGAGCCUCAAGUUUCAGUUUCAUCAGGCCAACUGUGAGAGCGCGCUAAUAAUGACGCACGAGCAUUCAGAUUCACGACUCGCUAACCUGGCUCGACUUGGACGCUUCCGUCAACUGCCUCUUGUCUAGUCCCGGCGUGUUGUGUUUGACACCGACGCGCAACCCAACAACAACAAAAACAUACUGCUCCGCUGGCUGGCACCGGCACCGGCGGCCGGCAGCCGGCAGCCGGCAGCCAACAAUCCACAUCGCCACCGCACAAGCGUCUGUCUCAUCGUCGGCAUUGGAAACAAACAGAUAAAAAAGCUGGACGGCUUUCCGUGCGAAAUCCUCCUGAUUGCCGUGUGGAUUUGGUCACCACAAACGAAAAGGAAGUUUCGCUGGUCGCCCUUGGCUUCAUUCACCACAACGAGUCGCGAUGAACCAACAAGCAAGUAUGAAUACAUCAACGGCGAUAUAUACGGACUACUGUACAAUGCAACAGCCAGGUAGAGUCUGAAUGAAAUCUGAAUAUCGAUCAAUAUAUCAACACUGGUAAAAUAGUACUACUACUAUACUAGAAUCAAUCUCAAUAUAACUGGAGUAUAUGGUACGAGUAGUACUACCGCUAACAAAGAACCAAAGGAACGAGUAAUCGACCAAUCGAUAGUAGUAGUAGUAUGUGCAAUACAGCUACGAAUCCAACUAGUACCACUAGCAGCAGUAGAUGCGAAAAUCUCUAGCAAGAUCUACAUACAUAGUAAUGGGACGGUGGUCAAUCGAAUCCAAGCGAGAGGAGAGGAGAGAAGAGACCGGACCGGAUCGGAUCCCCAAACGAGCACCAAGGAAUCGAAUCCAUGGCGGAAUCAGAACCAGACCUUGCAGUCCGUGGGUUUGAAGGCGGGGGCGGCGCCGCCGGGGGCGGGGAUGGAGAGCGGGCAGCUGAUCCUGNNNNNNN
rnacentral:lncRNA from 1 species